rnacentral:lncRNA from 1 species
GCAGGUCUAAUAUUCCUUAUUAGUGCAUGCAUGCAGAUAGAUGUAUAGACGUUCCAUUAGCGCUAGCUGUAAAUACAAUUUCCGUAAAUCUCUAUAUAUAUUCUGAAGCUUAGUUUAGUUGAGUAUGUAUAACUAUCUCAUCUUCUUCCAAAAGCAUUGAUCAUCUUCUUCAUUUAACCAAAAAAAAAAAAAAAAAAAACUCAUCUUCUUCAAAUUAAGAGAAAUCUCCAAGUCUUGAAGCUUCAACAAUGGGUUCUUUUACCAAGAUGCAACUUCUAAGUUUGAUUUUUCUACUCGUGGCUCCAGCACUCUCCCUCGAUCAGGUAACUUGUAAACAAAUUGUGUAAUUAUCAAAUUAUAUAAUUAUCAAAAAAAAAAAAAUUGUGUAAUUAUAUAUAUAAUUAAGUUUUUUUUUUUGUUAUGAUUGAAGCUUAUUGAACCACGGAUAUUUUGUUUUGAAUGUGUAACAAAAAAAACUGGAACUUUCGAUGACAUAUAUAUUACAUCUUUGCAAAUAUACAUUUUUAAAAGAAUUUAAAUUACCAACACCGAUCGAUAAUCUGAUUUAAAAUAUUUUUUCUCUACACGUUUGUUUAUAUCUAAUUAAAUUCUAGCUUUAUAUUCCCAUGGCAAAUAAUAAUAUAUAUAUAUAUGGACAACAAUAAGAAAUGAUCAAAGUAAUUUUUUGUAUCCUUCUAAUUAGCAGAGAAAAGCUUCGAAUAUACUAAUUUUUGACUUUUUGUUGUUGCUGUUUAGUGUUUGCAAAACAAAUUAAUACGGUCAAGUUGUAAUUGACUUUGCAAAUAGAGCCCAUAAAUUAGUCAAAAGUUAAUUUAAUAAUAAUCUAUAAGCUAACUGUUAAGUCUCCGUUCGCCUACGACUUUCUCUCUAUUCCAUCACCUACGACUUUCUCUCUAUGGUUCAACCUAAGAUCUACUUGAUGUGUCUCCUUGCUUAUUGAGUUUAGGCCUUUAAGGCCUUUUAUUUUAACUAUAGCCAUAAACUAUCUACUAAAGUCGGGCUGGGCUUUUGUAUUGUUAUCCUUUUCUGCAUUUUUAAUAGAAAGUCUGUUUCGAAAACAAAAAAAAAACUGUUAAGUCUCCGUUAAAUUCUUUAUUUUCUUCCUCUCCGGUGUUUCAACAAGAAUCUGCUUCCUUUAAACACCGACGCUUCGAGAUCUGAAAUGAUCCGAUUUCAUCGUUAUUGUUCAAAACCGGAGGGAGAUGUCUUCCUAGUUUCUCUCCUUUUCAACUUAGGGUUUCAUUCGAUUUCAGCCUACCUUGAAAGUUGCCCUUUUUUAUGAUUCUUUUUUUUUUAUAACUAUUUUCGAAUUUGAUGAUUAGAAUCAGAAUUUUGAAUACUCUCAUCAGCCAAAAAAUUAUUUCCGUGUUUGUCUUCGGUUCACUAAAACUGUUGAAAUAUGAGAAGAAAAAAGUAAAGUUAUCAACUUUACCAAUUAGCUCUGAGCUUUGGUUUGUUACUUCCGACGGACCAUGUUCUUUGAAAAGUUGGUUUAUUUCUCCAGUUAAAAUUAUUUUUGGGAAUUUUAAAGAAACUACCACAUUUCAUUUUUUUCUUUUGAAAUCUACCACAUUUUAAAAAUCUUUUCUACACUACCACUUUCAUAAAGAGAAAAAGACUAUUUUACCCUAUACCUUAUCAUCUCUCAUUUCUCUCCCAAACUCCACGACACCAACAAAACCAAAAAACCUCAUUGUCCUCUCUUUCUCUUGCUAACUCAACUUCUCUCUCACUUUCCAACAAAACCUCCAUUUUAUCUCUGCUAAUUUUUUAAAAUUUACCAUUUUUUGUUCUUCCUCACAAUCAAAUCAAAUCGAUUUCACAUGAUUCCGCCGCCCUCCAUUUAUCAACGUAGAUUGACCAAAAUCGAUGGAGUUCUCCUUAUUCCCCCUCUUCUCAAGAUCUUCUUUCAACUUGGUAAGUAUCUAUUCUUCUUAUGUUUUAUGAUUCAAACCGAUUUGAUUAAUAAGUUUGUUUUUAUUUAAAAUCCAUUGGAUAGAAAUAUGUGAAAAAGAAGAUGAGAACCAGAUCUAGAAAUUUGUCCACGAGAAAAUAUAUAUAAAUCAUAUGUCCACCAUAAGAAUUAAUUUUUGAUCGACAUAUUGUCUAUAAAAAUUAUCAAUUGUAUAACAAUGAGUUUAUGAAAAUAUUUUCAAUAAUAACUCUUGUCUAUUGUUUGUAUAGGUAAGCAAAGAUAGUUUCUGAAAAUGAUAUCAAUGAUGGAAAGGAUGUAAAUAUAGUUUUGGUAUAUAUUUUUGUCCACGAUAUAUUUUUGUCCAUGAUAAUUAUGUGUUUUUGUCCAUUGUUCUUAUAUAGUAUGUGAUUCUUAGAUCGUCUAUAAACAUAUUUUCUUUAAUAUUUUAUUAUUUUGUCUCCACAUACAAAUAAAAACAUAUUUAUGAGACAAUCAAAUAUACUGUAAAUUAGGGACAUAUCUAUGCCAACUAUUAAUAAUGAUAACUGAAUCUCAACUCUUAUUAAUAAUAACUAAUAUAAAAUAGGAAAACAAAUAAAUUAUAAUCAUUAUAGUAAUAUUUGUGAUAGACAAAAUCCAUGAUUAUAUUGUUAAUUUGUUGUAAACAAAUUUUUCUUCUACCAUUAAAUGAAGGGUAAAAUUGUCCAAAUAUCUUAUCACUACCACAACAAUGUGGUAUAUGGGAAAAAAAUUGUGAAAUGUGAUAUUUUACGUAAGGGUCCCACCAUUGUGUAGUAGAUAAUAUAAAAUUCCCAUUAUUUUUCCCUGAUUAUUUUUUUGUUUAGAAAAAUGUUUGUUUGAAUUUUAUUAGAAAAAGCAAAUUUAGCCCACAAUAAAAGGCCCAAAAAUAAAGUCUUAUAUGAACUGGCCUUUAUUAUAAUACAAAGAUUUGAAGCCCAAUAACUUGGAUUUUGUUCUCAUAUUUGUCACUUUUUCCAUAUAACAUAAUAUUUAAAACGCGGGUUAGCUCAUUGUAUUUCACUUGUUUUCUUGAAGGUGCCUAAGGAUAAAGGCGCCGACUUCAUUGUUGCCAAGGACGGCACAGGUCACUUCACCACUGUGAACGGAGCAGUUGCAGCUGCUCCGGAGAACAGUAUGAAGCGAUUUGUAAUAUAUGUCAAAAGAAGAGUGUACAGAGAAGUGGUUCGGGUCGGGGUUAAGAAAUCCAAUAUAACUAUAAUUGGCGACGGACAAGACUUGACAAUUCUCACCGGAAAUUUGAACAGCGACGACACCAAGAGUUUUGACACGGCGACACUUGGUAACACUCUUCAUCACUGUCUUUUUUGUCGUGAGAGUUUAGACACUUGUCAUCUUGCAACCAAAACCCUCUUCUCAAACUGAUUGAUUGUGUCUAAUCUACCACAAUAACUUUACAUGUUUCCUCAAGACACUUCUGCAUAAUUACUUAGAUGAUCAUGUGGUGACAUGUGUCUUUGGCAGCCACAUAUGAACCCUGAGUAUUAUGUCUAAUUUUCCUAUACCUUCUACUCAAUCUCCAGUGCCAAAUAUUGAACCAGACAACCAGUUUUCUAUUCUCCUUGGUUUCCUUUCAGCUGAUUUUUUAAUUUUCACCAGUUUGUCCGCCUCCACGUUUGGAUUCUCCCGCUCUUGUACCUCCAUGACUUUGUCCUCUGUUGAACGUUUCUCUGCUUCUUCUCAUAACAUGAUUACUUGUUUCAUGCUUUUAUUUGUUACAAAGUUAUAUGGCACAAGAUUACUAAUACUAAGAUUCCUAUGCAGGUGUCGACGGAUUUGGGUUUAUAGCACAAGAUUUGUGCAUUCAAAAUACCGCUGGGCCACAAAAAGGGCCGGCAGUGGCUCUCCGCAUAAGCGCUGAAAGAGUAGUCGUAUAUCGCUGCAAGAUUGAUGCAUUCCAAGAUUCUCUGUAUGCUUAUUCAGGUAGACAAUUUUAUCGGGAAUGUCAUAUUACAGGAACAGUGGAUUUUAUCUGCGGACACGCAACGGCUGUCUUUCAAUACUGCCAAAUUGAGGCACGUAAACCGGCUAAACAACAAAACAAUGUUCUGACCGCACAAUCUCGCGAGAAAAAGUCUGAUUAGUCAGGGUUUUCGUUCCAGAGAUGCAACAUAACCGCAGGUUCCGAUCUUAGACUAACCAAUGGAACUGUAAAGAUGUAUUUGGGACGUCCAUGGCGGGCAUUUUCUAGAGUUGUAUUCAUGGAGUGUCUUUUGGACAAAAUCAUUGAUCCAGCUGGCUGGCUGCCAUGGGACGUAAAGGAUUUGGUAACACUGACAACUCUGUAUUAUGGUGAAUACAGAAACACAGGCCCGGGAGCAGAUACAAGCAAAAGAGUCAACUGGAAAGGUUAUAAAAGAAUUAUUGAUAUGAGUGAAGCUGCAAGUUUUACGGUCGAAAAACUUAUUCAGGGAAAUUUAUGGAUCAACUCUACUGGAGUUCCAUACGAGUUAGGUCUAUGAUUAUUUUAUAUUUUAUGUAAUGUUGUAAUGAACAUUUGAAUGUGGUUGUGUAAGUCUGAAAUUUCCUUAUACAAAACCUUAAGACUGAAAGUAGUAUUAAAGGUGUCAAAUCUUUAUCAGAGCAUAGUAAUGUUGUUGCCUUAUAAUACGUAACAUUCUUCAAUGACGACACAAUUUCUGUACCCUAAGCCAAAAGAAACGUAUUCCUAAGUUAACUGAAAUUGACCUACAUUCAAAGUCAACCUUGAUGCUGCUGCUUAUCCGGAGCAUCAUGGUACUCAUCCUUGUCUCCCUCUUCCUCAGCCACUGUAUGAGGUCUCCUGCGAUCCCGAUCUUACGUUUUGCUCCAGCAGUAGGUGUGCCGAUAGGGAAUCUGGGAGAAGACGGCUGCACGGUCACAACCUCCGGUGAUUUCCGGUCGGAUCUCGGAGAUUUUCCCGGAGAAGUCAUAUUUCUCAGGCGAUACACAAGUAUUAAGCUUUGGCUUUGACGGUGGAGAAAAGAACAAAGAGACAAACUGGACUUGGUACGGUACCGAAACUAAAAUAACUUUGUUUUCAAUAACACAAUCCCGAAACUUAGAUAAAACGUUUUUUUUCUUCUUAUUUUUGCAGAAAAGAUUGCACGGUAACCAUAAUUAUAUGAGAAAGUUUUUUGACAUUAGAAACUUGUUUGACGAGUUGUGGGUUAGGUUUGAAAGUUGACAGCUCCAUUUCACACUCAUCCGACAUGUCUUUUAUACAUUGAACGUCCUCUUGAAGUCCGAAAUAGUCCUUAUAUCCCAAAUCUGCGAGGGCGUCACACGACAACUAGUAGCUUUGUCAAACGUGUCUACGCAUACCUGAUAGGAACCUUUAGCGCUGCGAUCGGUUGUGCUGUUGAAGAGCGACUGGAAUUGCUUCAGCAUAUCUAAAUGUUUUGGAGAAUCGUAGUUGACUAAAUAUUUGACAAGGCCAGCAGGAUCCAAUGCUGCAAUUUUUGGGGACGAUUUCAACAACUUAAAGCAGAAUGAAGCAUCAAGUCCACUAUAUGUGCAGAUGGUGUUGAUUUGGCUACUUGUAACCUUCUUACUAAACCUUGUAGAUGAUGAAAGAACGACAACACCAAGUAAAAUCACUAAUAACAAACGAUUUUUGACGUUUGAAACCAUUUUUGUUUUGUUUUUGUGUUCUAAAUUUUAGAAAAUUAUGUGUGAUUAUUUAUACAGAAGGAAAACUUUUUUUUUUUGGUCAAAAAUAUCUACAGAAAUGGGAAAUAUAUCUACAGUUUUUAAUGCUAACAGAUUAUGUUUUUAAUGCUGACAGAUUAUGUUACCAUAACAAUAUUAUUUACAUAAAAACUUGACCUUUUAACCAAAAGAAAAAAAAGUAACAGUCGUUUGUCAAAGGAUUAUGAAGAGGAGAACCAAAGUGGAAGCAUGAGCGAAGCAAUGGAAGGAUUUGCAUCUCUGUAGGUAGUUAUUCUGUUUCUGAUAGUGGCAUCAAUCGAUCGAAGACUCGUACAAAAUUCGUAUUUUCGGAAUUGUGAAAUUUGCGAGUUUGUUUUUCACAUAUUUGUUCGGUGUCUUCUUCCGUUAUGAGUUUUGGUGAGAUUUCUAUAGAAGUUCAAUGUAUGAUGAAAUCAACAACUCCACUCUGUUUCUUUUUUCCCUUAACAUGUGUUGUAGAAAACAGAGUAUCUGAGCAAACUUGUUUGGAAUACAUUUCCUGCUUUUUAAUCCAAUCAUUGAAAAUGUACACAUAUGUAAUUGUAAUCAUACGAGUUACUCAAAACACAUAUUAAUGAGAUGGUCUUCUUUCGCAAUCCCAACAGGAACUCUCCAAUUUUGUUUAUUUAACUCUCCAACCUUUGUAAGCUUCUAAACCCCUAUAAAAACCAUUACAAAUCAUUUAAAAACCAUUUAAAAACUCUUGUAAAUCCCUUUAAAAACCUUGUAAACCUUUUAAAAGACCCUUUAAAAUCAUUUUAAAAAAUUUGGCGGGAAAACAAACCAGAUAGUGGAUUUUGUUUGGGAAACUAAAGUCUAUGAUUUGAUUGAUAUGGCAACCACAACGAACAAUAAUCUCUUAAAAAUCUUGACUUUGCGGUAAUAUUUUUGGAAAGUCAGAAUUCUUUUUCAUAUUAUUAAUUGAAACGAUACAUAUGAAAAGUUACAUAUAUUCAAUAUAUUAAAGACCUCCUUUUGUUAAUUCCAUUAACAAAACUUUAAUAGCUAAAACAUAUCAAAACUUUGUAAACUAUACAAUCUUAAUCCUGACUAGCUAAAGACUAAAUUUGGGCUUUGUUCCCAAAACAUAUCAAAACUUUGUAAACUAUACAAUCUUAACAAAUUUACAUUACAUACGUCUUAAGAUAAUUACAGAAGACAACAUGCAGUUUCAUUUAUUUCGAUACGAGAAUUUUCUUUUUUUAUUGCUGAUAUUUCCAAUUAAAAUAGUAUUAGAUAUUUAGAUAUAUUUGUGAACAUGCCUAUAGUAACAGACCUUACAUUACCCUCUCCUUGUAUAAUCACUAGAUUGUGAACCAACGCGUUGCGCGGGAAUUUAAUUUAAAAUUUCUUCUAUCAAUAUUAAUUUUUGAGCAUAAUUAUAAUUAUUUAAAUUAUAAAAGAUAAAAGCUAUAUAAUUAAACACUAAACUAAAAAUUUUAAGCGAUAUACAACAUAUAAAUUGUUGGCGAUAGUAUUUUCUUGACAAAUAAAUGAUUUAAUAUUAUUACAUGGUAACAAAAAUUACUUGAAAAGAUUUGCGAGAAGAGUAAAUGGCAUCGACGACCAGCUCAUGAUCUUAAUUGUAGAUAUCCUUUAUGAUUAGAUGUUGAUACAAAUAUAACACCGUUCUAUAUAUAACACCAAUUUACCGAGCCUCAUAUACAUCAUUAAGUGUAAAGAUACAUAUAUAAUAUCAUCAAACUUGCUUUAUAUCCAUCGGAAAAGUGUAAUGUAGUAAAAGAGAACUCUCGACCAAGUUAUGAAUGUGUCUAUCUUAUCUUAACAGUUAAGUCCGACUCUGAAUCUAGUAGUAUGUCAUGAGUUUUUAAAAAAACUCACUUCAUUUCACACAAUAAAUGAUAUCUCAAAUAUUUCAAAAUUUAGUCAUAUCAUUAUCUUUUUAAGUUAUAUUCAUUUAUACUCAAUCGCAUUUAACUACUAAUUCUUUUGUGAUCUUCUACGAUGGACUCGUCACCUCUCGACAUCUAGUUUAUUUCCAUCUUCUAUAAACUCUUAUCUAUAUAUAUAAAGUUGACUUUUUCUCUCUUCUCCUUAUGCCACAUCAUCUUCCACAUCAGCUGCCACAUCAUCAUUCAUCUUAAUUUUUUACAUUGAUUUAGAAUUACAACACUUUAGUUUUUAAUUUCUUUUCUACCUCAUAACUUAGCCUUUAUUUAAUUUUUAUAUUCAAUAGUGGUUUUAAGAAAAUAAAUAAUAUAGUAAAAAACAUUUAUGUCCAAAAUAAAUAAAACAAGUAUAUAUUUAUAAAGUAAUGAUCAAUUUUUUUUUUUUAUUAAUGGGGCUAAAUACAAAACAAAAUACAAAACAAGGAUAUUUAUACUAUACAUAUAGAUAUACCACUAAAUUGAUGUCAUCCGAAGGCACAUCAAACGAGAACACAAUCGAUUUUAGGCAUAAGAAGUAGAAGAAAAAACUAAAAAGUAAAAUGAAUACACUUUGAUAAAUAAACAAGUGGAUUCACCAGAAUAAUUUGGCCUACAAGAAUUGAAGGCUUUUGAAAUGUAAGGUUCUAACAGGUAACAAUUUAUUCCUUAAUAAUAUUCCAUUUUAGGUUAAAAGCAUAUAAUAAUGUUUUAAUAAUUUUUAUAUUUUUAACAGAAUUUCACUGCAUAAAGUAUAACGGAAAUGAGUAAAUGAAUUUCACGGCAUAAAGUAUGGCUCCAUGUCCAUGCAAGUAUAAUUUCUAAUGCAUGUAAUACCUACAUUGUUCCAAAACAGAUGGACUAAGGUAAAAGAGUUAUAACUCUGAAUCUUUGUAUAAUGAAUUUAAGUAUAAACAAUAAGUACUUACUUUGGUAUUUAGACACUCUCCAGAAACACAAAACGCCAAACAAAGGGCCUGAUUUACUGUAUAUGUGAGAUGGUGUCCACAAUAUUUCCAAUAAUGCAUGAACUUCUCAACAAACAUCUCUUCUUAUAUGACAAACUAGUCAGUUGCCCGCGCUACGCGCAUGAGUUUUAUUAUAUUGUUUAUGAGUAUUUGGUCCGUAUUCUAUUUCCUACUUGUUUUUUCCCUAUAGCAUAUAUAUUUUUUUCUUUUCUUAGAUUGUGUUUGUAUAGAAAACCUGUUGAGUUUUACCUUCGUUAGUAGCUGACAAAUUGAGUGUGUAUAGUAUAGGUCGAUGUGUGGGUGUAAACGGAAGUGCGGUGGAGAAUCAUAGAGAAACAUGUGUUAUUAGGGUUCCUACCAGAUAUAGAUCUAGAUGUUAAUAUUGUGGGCUUUUUAAUAUGUUGGCUCGAAAGAUGAAAAUGAUUUGUGGGUUUCGGGCAGAUUUUUCUAUUUUUUAUUGGUUAUAUUAUCUCUUUAUAUAUUCUCAUAAUUUAAUUUUUUGUUUUAUAUUUUUAUUUUUUUGGAUUUGACGUAAUUUAUAUCUCGUUAUGAUCAUUUUUAUACUAUUAUAUAUUCCUCUCUGAUUUUCUGUUUUAUAUAUUUUUGUAUUUUCAUAUGGAACAAUUUUAAAAUUAAGCAUAUUAGUAUAAUUUACUUUAUAUAUACUUAUUUAGUUCAUUUCAUUUAAUUAUGUUUUUUUCAAUGUUUAUGAAAUAUUGUUAAUUAUUUAUUUUGUUUAUUAGUUUACCAUAAUGUGCUGAACAAAAUUAGUUAAAUUCAUAUUGGAAACCUUUACAGAAAUAUUAUUUUUAUUGUCACCAUUUUUAUACGUGUUUUUAAAAUGAGAAUUCAUGUUUCGUCCCAACCUAUCUCAUUUAUGUUGCAGAAUUUUGUGAGACAUAAAUUAGAUAGAUUUCUAUUCUCAAAAUUUCUUACAUUUUGUUCUAUUUCCGUUAAAUACCAUUAUAAUUUAGGUUUACAUUAUGUAAAUAUAAUCAAAUUUUGGGUCAUAAUAUUUGUAAUUGAUAUAUAUUCAAUAUAAAACAUCACUUAAAACUUAUAAGGAAUCUAUCGUUUAUAUAUUAGUUAGUAUAAUCGAUAGUUAGUAAUUUUUUUAUUUUUUAAUCAAUUAUAUUUUUAGUUUUGUAAUAUAAAAUAUAAGAAAAGGUCUUUCAUAUUUUUUUUAGAAAAUCUUAUUUACAUAUUUCUAAAUAUUAAAAUUAAAUGAGAAAAUGAUAUAAUUAAUUCUUAAAAUUAAAUAAUAAAAUGAACAAUAAGAAAAGACCUUUCAUAUUUCUUUUAGAAAAACUUUUUUACAUAUAUCUAAAUCUUAAAAUUAAAUGAUAAAAUGGUAUAAUUAAUUCUUGAAAUUAAAUAAUAAAAUGAGGUGGAUGAUGAUUAGGAUAAUGAGGUGGCUUAAGUAGAAGAGAGAAAAGUUAACUUUAUAUAUAUAGAUAAGUACUUCAUUCCUGGUGUGAAGAACAAAGAUGGAAGAGUUGAUCAAGUAGUUUAUAUCGACGGCAGAAAUAUAAGUUUAGACACCUCCCAUUAAUGAUUUUGAAAACUAAACUAUUGACAAUAGAAGUCUGUCCAUGGACAUCAACAAUAUAAUCUUCAUGAUUAACUUCACCCAUUUCUACUAUACGGUCAUAGAAAUCUAAUAAAUAGAUACAAAAAAUUAUAUAAUGUAAAUGUAACUAUGCAAUACAUAAAUAUGUAGUUUUAAAACUAAACACCGUUACAAAGAACAUACCGUACGUGGUUUUUGAGGGAAGCAACUGUUUUGCCACAUGUGUGAAAUCUUGAAACCUUAAAAAGAAUUGAUCUACUAAUGGGAAAUAAAAUUUCAUUUCAGUCUUCAUUGUGGCCUUGAUUUGGUAACGAUGGUUCGUGUUACUCUGUCUCAACAUAGGAGUGAUGAGUCUGAAGUCCGAGAUAUGAAACCAGUAAGCAUCUUCUAUAAUAGUUAUGAUAUCAGGGUUCUUCAAAUCAGAAGCUAUAGUCAUCUCAAUUCUAUCCCCCUAUAAAAAUAGUUGCUCUUAAUACUUUAACUUAAAUCGAAUCAAGAAAUAAAAUUUACUCCCGUUUAUGUUACAUAAUAUAAAAUAAUUUACCUUCUCGUCCACUAGAAAAAUUACCCUCUUCAUCAUAUCAUCAAAAAUUAUCCAAGUACUCAAAACCUUGACCCUUAUCCUCCACUCGCUUCUUUGUGGGGUUAGCUCGGAGAUGUAAUCAAUUUUCAUGGUUAGGGUGAUUACGUUUUGUAAAUAGAGAAAGAGUUUGAAGAGUAGCGAGAUUAAAGAUCUUUUAUUUAUUUUGUCAUUUAUGUUAUUGAAAUUAAGUUACAAAAAUAAUCAGUUUUAGAUAUUUGCACAAAUCGUUAAACAAUUCAAUUGAGAACUACUGAUUUAUCUUUCAUGCAGAUCCAUAAAUAUGGUAAAGGCCCAUUAUUUUGAGCAAAUUAAAAAUAAAUACAGGCCCAUCAUCUAUACAAAUCCGAAAUUGCUUUAUGCUUGAAACCAAUGAAAUCAUUUGCUAAAACUAUUAUACUUUCGGUCUACAUCAACCUUAUUCAAAGUAUGAUAUAUAAGUUCUAAGCUUAAGUGCCUAUAUAGCUUCAACCAAAAUAUAAAUCAGAUGUUUUAUAUAUGUUUUCACAUAACUAAGCACAAUAUGUGUAAUCUUAUAAAUAGUAAAUGUAAGAUUCUUGUUUAAUUAAAGAAUAAACAAAAAUAUUUAGCUAUAAUUACUUUAGAAUCCUCUUCUUUUUUACUUCACCAAUAUCAACAAUGCAGCUUAGAAAUCAAACACAGAACAAAAAUUCAAUUUUAUAACUAAAUACUCUUAAUAGUCAGGAUUAAACCAUGUAACUAUUUGUAACAACCCAUCCCGGUGGGAACCCCUGCCACAUGGCACACCCCGCCACAUGGCAGCAACAAGCGCUGCAGCGCAUCGACCCUAACCUCUCUCCUGUGGGCCCAAACUGCGCAGCCCACUACUCGCAGCCUCCUGGCCCACCAGGUAGGUUAUUGGUGCGCCUGGCGUUCCUCGAACCCAGGUUCUCACCCGUUAACAACCUUUUCACUUGACAAGUUGUUACCAAUUGAACUGCUGCCUUGUAACACCCCGACCGCCAUCUCUCCAGUGGGCCUCAUGUUCACCACCAGCCCAUGGGCCCACCUCUCUUAAUGGGCCUCACGUCCUCUCACUAGGCCCAUGAGCCCAUUUAUACCCGACAGUCGGUUUGCUACGUCCGGGAGGUUUAAAGUCUUGUUUACCGACCCUACAAAUCACCACAUGAUCUUCCCUGUGUUUUGGCCUCACUCACACAGUUCCGACAACCACUUCCCGGAAGGUCACCCAUCCUUUGACUACUCCAGUAUAAGCACGCUUAACUAUAGAGUUCUCUCAGGACAUUUGAACGAAAAGAUAAGUGCACUUUGGUGACAUAGGUGGCCAAAUCAAUUCAUUUAAACCUCUCCGCAACUGGGGUCUCACAAUUCUCCCCCACUAACAGAUCGCAACGUCCUCGUUGCGCACAACGAUCGUUACCCCCUGACAGUGUGAGCCCACCACUCCACACUUGUCUGGGUUCGGCUCUAAUAUCACUUGUAACACCCCGACCGCCAUCUCUCCAGUGGGCCUCAUGUUCACCACCAGCCCAUGGGCCCAUCUCUCUUAAUGGGCCUCACGUCCUCUCACUAGGCCCAUGAGCCCAUUAAUACCCGACAAUCGGUUUGCUACGUCCGGGAGGUUUAAAGUCUUGUUUAGCGACCCUACAAAUCACCACAUGAUCUUUCCCUGUGUUUUGGCCUCACUCACACAGUUCCGACAACCACUUCCCGGAAGGUCACCCAUCCUUUGACUACUCCAGCAUAAGCACGCUUAACUGUGGAGUUCUCUCAGGAACCUUGACCGAAAAGAUAAGUACACUUUGGUGACAUAGGUGGCCAAAUCAAUUCAUUUAAACCUCUCCGCAACCGGGGUCUCACAAUUCUUCAAUUGGUAACAACUUGUCAAGUGGGAAGGUUGUUAAAGGGUGAGGACCAGGGUUCGAGUAACGCAAGGCGCACCAAUAACCUACCUAGUGGGCCAGGAGACUGCGAGCAAGUGGGCUGCGCAGUUUGGGCCCCCAGGAGAAAGGUUAGGGUCGAUGCCAUGUGGCGGGGUGUGCCACAUAGCGGAUGAUCCCACAGGGCGGGUUGUUACAUAAAAAGUCGACUUUUUAUGUAACAACCCAUGCCGGUUGGAACCCCUGCCACAUGGCACAUUCCGCCACAUGGCAGCUACAAGCGUUGUAGCGCUGUAAGGAUGCCAUGUGGCGGGGUGUGCCACAUGGUGGAUGAUCCCACAUGACGGGUUGUUACAUAGUUCAAUUGGUAACAACUUGUCAAGUGGGAAGGUUGUUAAAGGGUGAGGACCUGGGUUCGAGGAACGCCAGGCGCACCAAUAACCUACCUGGUGGGCCAAGAGGCUGCGAGCAGUGGGCUGCGCAGUUUGGGCCCACAUGAGAGAGGUUAGGGUCGAUGCGCUGCAGCGCUUGUAGCUGCCAUGUGGCGGGGUGUACCAUGUGGCAGGGGUUCCCAGUGGGAUGGGUUGUUACACUAUUGAUAAGAAUUCAGAAUUUAGAGCACUAACCAUAUGCGUUGUUUGAUGGAAGCAACUUUCUAGCAACUCUCUAGCAACAUGGUUGAAAUCUUCAAACAUGUAGUAGUUUCAGUCUUCUCAGUUAGUUUGAUCUGGUAAGGAUGACUGGUAUUCCUCUGCUUCAAUAUCAGACUAAUGAGUUUAAAGUAUCUUAAAUCAUACCACUCACCAUCAUAAAUGUGUCGUGGUAAUUCAGGAUUCUUGAUACCAGGAGCUAUUGUCAUCUCAACUCUAUCACCCUAAAAAAAAUGGUUUGUUCGAUUAAUUAAACCUAAUUCAAUAACUAAUCUGCUAGUAUACGAGUAAAUGUGACCUAAGAAAAGUAAAUUACCUUAACAUCAGCGACAACAAAAACCCUCUUUGUAAAAAAUCAGAAGUAUGCCAAGUUCUCAAAACGUUGACCCUUAUGAUCCAAUCACUCUUUCUUGGAGUUAAAUCAGAGAUGUAAUCGGUUAGCACGGUUUUAAUCUUUUUUGUUUUGAAUAGAAAAAGUUUUAAGAGGUUAGGGUAAAGAUCUUUCGUCUUCUUCAAAGUUUUGUUAAUGGAAGUAACAAAAGGAGGUCUUUAAUAUAUUGAUUAUUAGUUGUUGAUCCGCGCUGCGCGCGAGAGUUUUAUAAUUAUUUUUUUAUAUUUUAAAAUUUAUAUUUGAUUUUUCUUUGUUUUUUUGUUUAUUUUUUUUUGUUUUUACUCUUGUUUUUGUAUUAAUUUAGUAUAUGAAAUUUUUAUUGUUAUUUGUUUAACUUUGAUUUAGGUCAAAUAGUAGCUCUUAGAACCUUACAUUUCAAAAGCCUUCAAUUCUUGUAGGCCAAAUUGUUCUGGUGAAUCCACUUAAUUAUUUAUCCAAGUGUUUUUAUUUUACUUUUUAGUUUUUUUUUUCUACUUCUUAUGCCUUAAAUCGGUUGUGUUCUCGUUUGAUGUGGCUUGGAUGACAUCAAUUUAGUGGUAUAUCUAUCUGUAUAGUAUAAAUAUCUUUUUUUGUAUUUUGUUUUGUAUUUAGCCCCAUUAAUAAAAAAUUGAUCAUUACUUUAUAAAUAGAUACUUGUUUUAUUUAUUUUGGACAUAAAUGUUUUUACUAUAUUAUUUAUUUUCUUAAAACCACUAUUGGAUAUAAAAAUAAAAUAAAGGCUAAGUUAUGAGGUAGAAAAGAAAUUAAAAACUAAAGUGAUAUAAUUCUAAAUCAAUGUAAAAAAUUAAGAUGAAUGAUGAUGUGGCAGCUGAUGUGAAAGAUGAUGUGGAAGAUGAUGUGGCAUAAGGAGAAGAGAGAAAAAGUUACCUUUAUAUAUAUAGAUAUGUAACUCUUCAUAUGUAUCGUUUCAAUUAAUAAUAGAAAAAGAAUUCUGACUUUCCAAAAAUAUUACCGCAAAGUCAAGAAUUUUAAGAGAAUAUUGUUCGUUGUGGUUGCCAUAUCAAUCAAAUCAUACACUUUAGUUUCCCAAAAUCCACUAUUUGGUUUGUUUCCCCGCCAAAGUUUGUUAAGGAUUUACAAAGGGUCUUUUAAAGAGUUUACAAGGGUUUUUAAAGGGAUUUACAAGAGUUUUUAAAUGGUUUUUUUAAAAAUAUUUGUAAUGGGGUUUAAAUGGUUUUAGAAGCUUACAAAGGUUUUUGAAUGGUUUUUAAAUGAUUUACAAUGGGUUUUUAAAAUUUUUUAUAAGUUUAUAACAGUUUUAAAAGGAUUUACAAGGAUUUUUAAAAGAUUUUAAAAAUUUACAAGGAUUUUUAAAAGUUUUUUAAAAGGAUUUACAAGUGUUUUUAAAGGCAUACAAGGAUUUAAAAACGGUUUUAGAAGGAUUUACAAGGAUUUUGAAAGAUAUUUAAAAAGAUUUAAAAAUAGUUUUAAAGAAUUUACAAGCGAUUAAAAGGGUUUUAGAAGUUAAAAAAGGGUUUUUAAGGGUUUACAAAAUUUUUUAAAGGUAUUACAAGUUUUUUAAAAUGGUUUUUAAGGAUUUAUAAUGUUUUUAAAGGGUUUAAGAAGUUUACAAAAGUUUUUAUUAAAGGAGUUAUAAGGGGUUUACAAGUGUUUAUAAAUGUUAUAAAAUGAUUUAUAAUGGUUUUAAACGGUUUACUCAAGUUUUGAAAGGUUUUGGAUGACUUUUAAAAGAUUUACAAGGGGUUUUAGAGGAAUUUUAAGGGAUUUAAAAACAUUUACAUAGUUUUUUAAGGAAAUGCGGAAAAAUUUGGCUGACAUAUUUUGGCGGGAAACUUUUUGACGGAAAAUUUGGCGGAAAAUUUUUCGGAAGUAGUAUUCUUUUUGCUGGAAAGAAUAUUCCUUUAUUUAUCAUGUGCUAUAAUAAAGGAGGGUAACCUUUUUAUGAGUUAUAACUAACCUCCUCGACACACUGAACAAACUGCACUCUCCGCUAAAUGCCGCCGGACUCUUUCCAUAUUAGUCAUAAUCACUUGGUGAGAAACGAGCCAGAGAAAGACUCGGAUUCUCUCCAGUACCUCGACAGCCCAAAUCCGUUUAAAAAUCGUUCCAUACACGGCCUAGCAGCGUUGUCCUGCGUCAAGAGAGCAUAAGUGGAACCCACACUAAAACAACCAUUGGAGUUUCCCAGCCAAGACAACUGAUCUCUCAAUAACCACGGCAUACAACUGUUGUAAAUUAUUCUCGGGGAGAUAGAACCACGGCAUACAACUGUUGUAAAUUAUUCUCGGGGAGAUAGUAAUCCUCAACCUCCAUACUUGCCUCAUCUGUUGGCAAAGGAACCAAAAUAAAGCUCGAUAGAGGCUCCGGUAAAAUCCAUCGAUCCGACUAAAACAAUAUUAAUCUCCCAUCUCCCGGCACCCAACCCAAGCCACGUGAAACAACUUCUCUUGAACCAACACCCACACUCCGCCAAGUUGAUGACAAUGUAGCUUUUGGCACAACCCAUAAGUAAUCGUGAACAUCACCCACCUUAUACUUACUUCUGAAAACCUUCGCCCAUAAACUCGUCUCAUCCCUAAGCAGUCUCCAGCCCACCUUAGCAAGGAGAGCUCUGUUCAUGUCCUUCGCUUAUUGUAAGCCCAAACCACCUUCUGAUUUUGGUUGGAAGAUCUUCUUCCAUGCUACCAAAUGAAGUUUCUUCUUCUCAGAUGUUCCACCCCAUAUAAACGUCCUCGAUAAAGUAAUCCGGCCUGCUAGGCUCAACAUGCGGCUCUUCUAACCGGACAGUUUAGAUGAGACCUUCUCCAACACCUUCCCAUAAGUCUCCUUAUGUAUUCGCUUAUGUAAAAUAGGCAUUCCUAAAUACUUUCUCAACUGCCUCGUAGAGCUAAUCCCGCUUUCCAAACUAAUCAGCCUCUCCAUAUCUCGGCUUACAUUUUGAGAGAAAAAUAUUUUUGAUUUUUUCUAAAAUUAUUUUUUUCCCGAAGCUAAGCAAAACCGCUCUAAAACGUUCCGAAUCACUCGAAUUUGAGUAACAGACGCUUCUGCAAAUAAAAUGAUAUCAUCCGCAAAGCACGCAUGAGACAGUUUCGGACCCCCUCUCGAAAGUUUGACCGGUUACCAACUCCCUUUGUUCACCUCUGCGUCAAUUAGAUGACACAACCUCUCAAGACAAAGCACAAAUAAAUAUGGAGAAAGAGGAUCUCCUUGGCGUAAACCACAAGCUGGUUGAAACGGUUCAAUUUUUUCUCCGUUCCACAAAAUAGUCAUUAACGGUUUUGUAACACAUUCCAUUAAACGCCGUACCCACUCAAUGGAUAACCCUGCUACUUCCAACAUCUCCUCUAAAAAAUCCCACCGUUUACGAUCAUAAGCCUUCUCAAGAUCCAACUUCAAUAACAUCCAACCUUUACGCCCUUUUUCCGACACAUUGAAUGAACUGCUUCCUGAACGAUAACGAUAUUAUCGAUAAUCAGCCUUCCGGGGAUAAAACUAACUUGGUCCGGACCAAUAAGCUUCGAGACAACCCCUUUCAGACGAAUCACCAUCAUCUUUGUGAUUACUUUAAACAACACGUUACACAAGCUUAUCGGCCUAAAUUGUGUUAUUCGUUCCGGAUUUGCUACUUUUGGUAGUAAGACUAACAACACAUCAUUUGUUGAACUCGGCAAUACUCAUGUAGCAAAGAACUUCAACACAAUAUCUGAAACUGAACCUCCAACAACUUCCCAACAAUCUAGGUAAAACACUAGUUGAAAGCCAUCCGAACCUGGCGCUUUAAACCGGCCCAUACUCUUAACUGCAGCCAACACCUCCUCAGACGUGGAAGGUUUUUCUAAUGCAUUCUUUUCCAUCGUACUCAAGCUCACAAAACCAUCUUUUGGCAACACUUCCCUCUCCUCUCCUAAAUCUGCCAAAGAGUACAACCUCGAAUAGUAAUCUAGAGCCAACUUCUCUAAUGCAUUCUUCUCCGAAACCCACCUGUUUUCAUCAUCCUUCAACAAUUCUAUUUGAUUCCUCCUCCUCCGAAUAAUUGUGGACGUAUGAAAGAAAGAUGUAUUUCUAUCACCCAACAAAACAAAUUUCUCUCUCGAUUUUUGGAACCAAAUACCCUCCUCCUGUUCUAGCACAUUCUCAAACUGAUUUCAUAACUGCUCCUCCUUAGCUAAUAAAUCUUUUGACUGCUGCACAUCCAAUCGCUCCUGGAUCUCCUUAAUCUCACCCAUCAACCUCUCUUUCCGAUUAUUUACAUCACCAAACACCUCUUUAUUCCACUUCUUAAGCUUCCAUUGAAGUUUACUAAGCGCAUGCGGUGUUGAAACACUUGUAUCCCACAACGCUGCCAACAAAUCCUUAAAGGUUUCAUGGUUUCACGAAGCCAGCACUUACACUCUCCCAACACUGGAUCUCCACAGCAACAAUAGACCUCCAAUUUUUCCUUCCGCAUCCACUCUAAAAAAUUCUCCAAACCCAACCUUUCACAAAUAUUUUGUGUGUGUUCCCCUCCUGCAUGCGUUUCAAAUAAUGCAAUGACAUACGUGUCGUAUUUCUUCAACAUAUAUCAUAUCGAUCGUCGAAAUUUGGGUUUAUUCGCCCCCGGCAGUUACAUAAAAGACAAUUCAAAUAAAUUCUUUAAAUUUAUAAAGAACAGACAGGGAAAAAUAUUUAUCCCCAUUCUCCCUCUCCAUAGCAACCAACCCCUCCUCAAAAGGAAGCUCAAAACUUGUACUCCCACUAGAUUCAACAUUUAUACUAACUAUUGUUUUCUCCAAGAUCUACAACGGCCUUCUCUCAGCUCCGUCUUUUCCACUUUCCAAGAUGUACACUCCUCCCUUUUGACCCACACUUUCAUUUUCAACUAGGAGGCGUUUUCCAGAAGCUGUACUACCCAUCUUACCUCGUAUGGGACCAAAAAUCAAGCCACGCACCGGAGCAUGUGGCUCUAACUGCUUUCCUUUAUGCCUAACAUUCCGCCAUGUUCUAUUACCGCGCAUUCUCUGCUCUAACACCUCUCCUUGACUUUUACCCAAAUCGUUAACUUUUUUCUCUGUCUGGCUCCUUCCAUCUCCAAAACGCACAACAUUUUGACAAUCCACAUUCUCUUUAUUCGCCUCACUCUCAACCAUGAUAUCCCGCUCCCCAGCCUGUGCCUCAUUCAUUUGCAGACCACUAAACCGAUUUGCAACACCGACAGUAGCAGUCCCACUUAUGUGGGCAUUCUCCACUAGUGGUCGACUCGGCUCCCCUCCUAAAUCCUAGGACACCACGCCAGCUUGCAAAGGUACGACACGCCUAUUCUUACUCCUCACCUUUGUAAGCCCAUCCGUUUUAUUCACUUCUUUUUGCUGACCCUGACCUUCCUCGGUACUACGCUGCGACGGUGCUCUACAAUUUUCUUCAAACAGGCAUACACCGUGUGCCCAUACACACCACACGUGGGACAUAUGUUUGUUAACCCUUUGUAAACACAUGAUACCGUUCAUCGUUAACUACUACCGUACCUUUUAACGGCUUACUUAGGUCCACCUCUACACAAACAUGAGCAAAACUCGCUCUCUCCAUCUUCAACGUCGUGAGAUCCACCUUCAGUGGCUUUCCAACUCGUUCAGCAAUACCCAUGAGAAUUGUUUCGUGAUAGAAACUAAUGGGGAUAUGCGCAAUUCUAACCCAAACCGGCGUGGUCACAAUCUCCUCACAAACGAGAUUAAAAGUCGGUGACCACGCUUGCACCAUCAAGAUACUACCAAAUACUCUCCAAGGACCACUCGUCAUUGCUGCCAUGUAAUCAUCCUCCGCGUCAUACCGGACCAUGAAGAACUGUCUCGGCAAGUCUAACACACACAUGCUCCCCUUCCACACCAUUCGGAAGCGCCAAACGCAUCCUUGACUUCACAAACUCAGCCGCUAAAACUUUCUCCGGAACUGGAAUCCCACUGCCAUUAGAACUUCUCACCUUCUCGACCCACAAACUCACCUACCCCACAACUCUUUCUGGUGGCCGACCGUCAUCAUCCAUGCACACAUCUUGAUCUGUCACGCUCAAAACCCUAGGGCUGAUAGGGUUCGACAUCGCCGCUUUUAGAGAUGAUUAUUACAGCAUCACAAUAAUAACUAUUUUCAUCGUCACAUUUAUAUUCUCAACUUGCUUUUAGUGAGAACAAAACUUAUGAGAAUAUACAUAAAAGGUUAGGGGGUAAUAAUUUAUUUCUUGAAUAAUAGUAAUAUGGUUACGCUAAAAGAAUGGUGGCUAAUAAUGUGAAUUAUAGUCUUGUAAAUGUUUAAAUUUGUAAAUGAUUUCUUCUAUACUAAAAAAUGAUUGCACACACAUUGAAAGAAGAAAACAAAUUGAGAUUUUAUUUAUGAACAUUUUUCAUAAGUAAAUAUGGAGAGGGUUAAUAGAAUUUACUUAUAAUAAAUAAUAUACCAGGUCAAAUGAUCCUUUAAGGAUUGCACUUGCAGAUGUGCCAAGAGAUUUCUUCAGCAAAACUGUCAAAUAUCAUACACCUUGUCUCACAAAUAUGAUCCAUGAUUUUAAGCUGAACCCAAAACCUAAUCAUUAUGUUUAGGAUAAAACAAUAAAGUUAACAAUGUAUAAUAAAAAGGUGAAAUGUCAUUAAAUAAUCUAAUAAAUUAAACUCACUUAGGGGAUAUGUGUGAGACCCCAGUUUGCAGAGAGGUUUAAAUGAAUUUAUUUGGCCACCAAUCUCACCAAAGUGCACUUAUCUUUCGGUAAAAGAUCCUGAGAGAACUCCAUACUUAAGCGUACUUAUGCUGGAGUAGUCAAAGGAUGGGUGACCUUCCGGGAAUCGGUUGUCGGAACUAUGUGAGUAAGGCCAAAAACACAGGGAAAGAUCAUGUGGUGAUUUGUAGGGUUGGUAAACAAGUCUUUAAGACGUAGCUAACCGGUCGUCGGAUAUUAAUGGGCUCAUGGGCCUAGUAAGAGGACAUGAGGCCAAUUUAGAGAGGUGCGCCCAUGGGCUGGUGGUGAACAUGGGCUCAUUGGAAAUAUGGUGGUCAGGGCGUUACAAUUUGUAUAAGAGCCGAACCUAGACAUGUGUGGAUUGGUGGGCUCACACUAUUAGGGGGUGACGAUCGUUGUGCGCAACGAGGACGUUGCGAUCUGUUAGUGGGGGAGAAUUGUGAGACCCCAAUUUGCAGAGAGGUUUAAAUGAAUUUAUUUGGCCACCUAUGUCAUCAAAGUGCACCUAUCUUUCCGUUCAAAUGUCCUGAGAGAACUCUAUAGUUAAGCGUGCUUAUACUGGAGUAGUCAAAGGAUGGGUGACCUUCCGGGAAGUGGUUGUCGGAACUGUGUGAGCGAGGCCAAAAACGGGAAAGAUCAUAUGGUGAUUUGUAGGGUCGGUAAACAAGUCUUUGAGCCUCUCAGACGUAGCUAAGUGGCCAUCGGAUAUUGAUGAGCUCAUAGGCCUAGUGAGAGGACGUGAGGCCCAUUACGAGAGGUGGGCCCAUGGUUGGUGGUGAACAUGGGGCUCACUGGAAAGAUGGCGGUUGGGGCGUUACAAUACGCCUUUAGCGUAAUCUUUACACGUCUCACACCAGAAUUUAGGUAUAGGUUGUUUUUAACAUCUUCUAGCUUUAUCGUGUCCUACUUGAUGGUUUUUUUUUUGCAUUUCUUACAUGCAUAGUAGAAACAAGAAUAGUCAGUAUCAUUUUCCGUAAUGGUACAAAGGGUUCGACAACAACCAACCUUAAACAAUUUAUAACUAUAUGAUUACAUUGAAAUUUAUUCAUGACAUAAUUAGGGGUAAAACAAUACGUUUAUAUACAUCAUAUGUUGCACGAUGCUCCUCAAUAGUCAUGAUGGGAUAAUCAUCUAUAUCUUCCUUUUUAUUACGGCCAAAGAGAGAACUUGUUUGUAAACUACCCACGAUUGUCAUUUGCAAACCGUCACUCUAUGGGGUGUGACAUAUAUACAAUUUAGAGUAAUAGUUCGUACUAAUUUUUAAUUUAUAUAAUAUAGUAAUUCUUUGCAAGACGUACCUUUUUCGGAUGUUCAAAAAACGGUAUGUUCAAAUUAGUAAGUUAUUGUGAGGAGUCAUAAGAAUUAGAGACACUCCAAACAUCAGAAUGUAUGAAUAAAUAUAUAUAUGAAAAGAAUAUCUUAAAACGAAUGACUUUUGUAAACUAACAGAAAAUAUUUUAAACCGAAAUUUACGGCAGGUAUAGUGUAAUGCCCCGACCGCCAUCUCUCCAGUGGGACCCAUGUUCACUACCAGUCCAUGGGCCCACCUCUCUUAAUGGGCAUCACGUCCUCUUACUAGGCUCAUGAGCCCAUCAAUAUCCGACGGGCGGUUAGCUACGUCUUGGAGGCUUAAAUACUUGUUUACCGACCCUACAAAUCACCACAUGAUCUUUCCCUGUGUUUUGGCCACAGUCACACAGUUCCGACAACCAUUUCCCGGAGGGUCACCCAUAUUUUUGACUACUCCAGCAUAAGCACGCUUAACUGUGGAGUUCUCUCAGUACCUUUGACCAAAAAGAUAAGUGCACUUUAGUGAUAUAGGUAGCCAAAUCAAUUAAAUUAAACCUCUCUGCAAUCAGGAUCUCACAAUUCUCCCCCACAAAUAGACCACAACGUCCUCGUUUCGCACAACGAUCGUCACCCCCUGACAGUGUGAGCCCACCACUUUACACUUGUCUGGGUUUGGUUCUGAUACCAUGUGUAACGCCCGACCGCCAUCUUUCCAGUGGGCCCCAUGUUUACCACCAGCCCAUGGGCCCACCUCUCUUAAUGGGCCUCACAUCCUCUUACUAGGCCCAUGAGUCCAUCAAUAUCCGGCGGUCGGUUAGCUACGUCCUGGAGGCUUAAAUACUUGUUUACCGACCGUAGAAAUCACCACAUGAUCUUUCCCUGUGUUUUGGCCUCACUCACACAGUUCCGACAACCACUUCCCGGAAUGUCUCCCAUUAUUUAACUACUCCAGCAUAAGCACGCUUAACUGUGAAGUGAUGUUUUCUCAGUACCUUUGACCGAAAAGAUAAGUGUACUUUGGUGACAUAGAUUGCCAAAUCAAUUCAUUUAUACUUCUCCGCAACCGGGGUCUCACAUAUAAUUGUUGCCUAAUAUACGUAAUAUUUGGAUAUUUAUUUGAACAUGAUGGCCCAUAAUUUCGAAAAUAGUUUUUAGGCCUUUUAAAUUGUAUUAAUUUUUGAAAAAGUUUGACAGGUAAGAUUAGACGUUUCUAGUUAACAAAAACAUAUGACUAAUUCGUAAUUGUAAAUAAAAUAUGAAGAUACUAAUAAUGAUAUAUUAAAAUUUGUCCAUACCACAAAUCAUCAUACAUGAAAUUAAUACCACAAAACAUAACACAAAUCAUCCCAAAACAUUGUCUAGACAACAACAAAAUGAAAUUAAAAACUGAGUCCAAAACAAAUAGAGAUUUUAAAACGUCUAAUCAACAUCCUUCAUAGUUACACUAGCGUUCUUCCCACGUAUACUCAGCAAGUCGUUCACUUCCUCUACCAACAUUAAACACAUAUUUCAUUAUAGUUAUGGUCAAAACAUUUGUUUAAUGGUACUAUAAGCUAUGUUUUUGUAAGGCUGUAAUGGAUGAUCAUAAUUUUAAUACACAAAUCAUCUUAAUUGGGUACUUACAGUAGAAUAACCAAGUUCAUUUCUUCAAACUCUUGGUCCAAUAUGAUUCUGGAGCAUCCAUACUGUGAAAUGAUACAUUGUUCACCUAGUAAUGAUAUACGAUAAGAAAAUAAUAUAAACAUUGAACUUAAGUAUUUAUUUUUAUUUUUUAAAAAUAAAAUUAAGAAGUAAAUUAAAUUAUAACCUUCAAAUUCGGAUAUUCUCCAGAAACGCAAAAUACACAUGAUAGGUUUAUCUACCAAAUCAUUAAAGAUAAGAUCCUCCCAACUGCUUUGAAAUUCUCUUGCGGAUUUCCCUACCGUAAGUCCAUAAGAGAUAAGAUUUCCUUUUGCCUGUAGAAGAGAACAUCAGAAAAUCAACUUAGUGAAGUACCAAGAAACUAAUAACAUAAUAUUUGAAUAAAUGGAAGACAUAAUUAUUAUACGUUUCAUAUGUGAAUGUGAAGGUUACAACGCUUUCCGCAUAUAAAUAUCCAUUUUCUCCAUCCACAUAAGUGAUUUCACGCAUUUGGGAUACAUUUGAAACAAUACCACAUGCAUCUGAAGAGGUAAUGAGUUUAAUUAUAAGUACGAUAAUAAACUUAACAAAUAAAACCAUUAAAUUAUCAUAAUUUUGAGAGAGAAUCACAAAAUAAGAGUUGAUUAUUAAAAUGAUAAUCAAGUGUUUUUCAUCGGGUGGGCUUUAAAUGUUGUUAUCUAUAGGGCUUACUAAAUACACUAUACUUGUCCUGAAAGUGUCAAUAUCUUAAUUAACCUUCACAAUAUCGGUGGUCGAGACAAUGUUCCCCCGAGCAACUUUUGCAGAGAUGUGACCGGCACAAUCCUAAAAAGUCAUCUCAUUAAAGUAUGAUAUCGAAUAAUAAUAGGUUAAUAAGAUAAGGUUAAUGAUAUUCCGUAUAACGCAGAAUCCCAAUUAGAAUUGAUUUGCAAACUUACAUGAGAUCAUUGUCUUUGCAACCAUCACCCAUAGCAACCUGCUAUCAACGACCACGUUAACUAGGAGGAUGUCCAUAAUAUACAUAACAAAAAGCGCGCUCUAAAUAGAAGAAACCACUAACAUCAUCAUUAUCGGCUAAUUUAUCCACAUGACCAAUAGCAGAGUUUAUAUCGACUGCUCCUACAGCGGCCUGGGAGGAAAUAAACAGAACCAAUGGUUAGAGUCCGCAGAAAAAGAGAUGGGCAAUGUGUAUAGAAGAAAUAACAGCAUGUACCAGACUGAUAUUGGCUUCCUCACCCUCAACAACCAAGGGUAGAUUAUCGGGGGCGUCACUGUCAUUUCCCACACGAGGGGUGACGUCGCCACUUAGUUCACGAAAACCACUAGAAGACCCCUGAUCCAAAGUAAAUAUACAAAUAUCAAGCAAUCAAUGUAUCGUGCGAUUCAAGUGAAGCACAUAAAUAAAGCAUUAGCGGGUAAUUAAGCAAAUAUCAUAUAACCAAUAACUUAAUCCUGUAAAAGAAUACUAAUCGAGUAAGAUGAAUAUUGCCCGGAACCACUUGCCUUGUUAUACCCAACAGCAGGUAACUGUUCCGCACUCCCGCAAGUUCCCUGCACCAGGUUUUCGUAAAGGUUAGAUAUGAAAAAAGUGAAAGCGUAUCAUUCCACGUUUGACUUAUUCGUUGGAUGUGACAGAUACCUCUGUAACAUUGGCUGGAUAAUGCAAAAGAAUAUCAGCAACGGGCCAACGGCAGAAUCGACGGGGUCAGUGGGGGUUGAUCCACAUCCAUAUGAUUGGUGGCUUCUGGAAUCCUGGGCAGAUUAGAUCCACGUACAGGCGAUGUCUGAGGAGAAGAAUUAGUCCUCUGAUCUGCCGAAGAAUCACCGUCGCUUCCAUCCUAGUUUUUGGGGGUUGCACAGAGUCCGUUGGUUGUAAUCCAGCUGGUAACACGCUUGAAGAUACGGUCCUCCAUUGAGGAAAUUUCAGAGUCCAACAUAGGAGAGAGAGUGGCAAGAUUGCAUGUGCCAGUCAACCGCGAAGAGUCAGAGGCAGUGGGAGGCGGGUGUUUAAAUUUUGAUGCUUGGUUAGGAGGAGGUUUUUGCCCUUUGCGAGCUCGGCUAAUUUUUGCAAGGACCCCCUUUUCUGCUUCUUUGGUGCCAACUCCAGCUGAGAAGGUAUGCAACCGCCAGUGAACAUGUCGUUGUUGAAUAGGAAUCCAGACUCCGCAAGAGACAAUAUAUUGUCUACAGCCACGUCUUCACAUUCAUCAUCCCAUGUCAAAUCCUCAGCAUGAUCCAUCUCAAGGUCCGGGAAAAUAACAGGGUCAACCAAAAUCUGGAACAGAAAAUGGAUAACAAUUUAGUUAUAAGUUUUGGAUCUAAUAUUAACUAAAACUAUUAAAUACAUAUUUAGUUAAGACCACAAUUUAAAAAGAUUUACUUAUUUAAUUACGUGAUAACAAUUUCGUUAUCAGUAUCAAUUAAAAAACUAGAUAAAGAUAAGUUUAGAUAUUAACCUCACAAAUACCAUCCAAUCGUUUUGCAUUUGAUAUUUUCAACGUUACCGAGCUACGGUUCCCAACAUCGGCCGCAGGUUCUUCCUGUGAAUCGCUACAGGGAAGUUCGUCCGCUGGUGACCCAUCUUGAAUAGCUGGCGCAGCUUGAAGGAUCACGAGCUGUAAUGCGUAUAAUACGCCUUGGACGGUGACACAAGUGGUAGCUAAUUGCACAACAUCCCGGUCUUUGAUAGACUUCAUCAUCGUCUCAAAUGACAAACGCCCCCAAGGGUAUCCAAGAAAGAACUGAAGAUCCUCACACAUCUUGGCGUGUUCUUUGACAAUUUUGGGGUAAUGAGAAGUUGGCACCAAGAAGCCAUCUACUAUGGCCAGGCAAGCGAAUCUUUUCCGAAUUUCCUUGUCCGUGACAUGCCUCUUCUUAAGCAUGGAUAUGACCCGAUCAACAAUAACAUCUUCCUCUAGUCCGAAUAGAGUACUAUAGUAAGUAAUUUUCUUCCCAGUCGUCCAUUUCCUAUUUCUCUUUUGCAUGUUUGGAAACCUCCCACAAUUUAGCCCAGUGACGAUCUUGACUCUCGGAGUGAGAAUUGAAUCGGUGUCCCGGCAAAGACGACCCAGAUUUCGUGAGGCUUGGCCACUUCAAGCUGUCUUGAUAGAAGAAAAAGCCCAAACGAGGCAGACUAGGCCGGUUUGUUGGGGAAAUCCAAGAGAUUCUCAAAUGAGGUCGAUCUGAGCCAAUCUCUCUCCUCAUCAUCCAUUGCGUCGAAGAUCAACGAAAGGUUUUUCAUCUUGUUAUAAACAUUGACUCUUUUGCCCAGCGGCUCUUCUCCGAAAGCAAUAAUCCGAUUGGGUAGUUCCAGAUCCGUCAUCUACAAAUUUUGAUUUAGGUUAUGGUACAAAAAUCAAAUAACAGCCAAGAACAUACCAAAUCGGAACAGGCUAAGAACUCACCGUGAAUAAAUAGGAUAAAAAUCUGAAAAUCAGAAGGUUUCGAGAAAUAUGGUCCAAAAAUCCAGUCUGAGAAUAGAGAGGAAGCCAAAAAGUUUGAGGAAGAUCGGUUGCAAACUAAAGAAAUGCUCAAGGGGCGUAAACCUAAUAUAUUCCCGAAACGCCACGACCGCCGCUGCUAUACAAUCAAACCAAGGCGAUGAUUCAAAAAUAACACACCCUAUCUUUUUUUUUUCCCUAGGCUGGAAGAAAUCCAUACUAAAGAUUUAUUUGCAAUUUCUCUGAGCAAAUGAAAGCCUACAGACUAAGAGGUAUAUAGGGCUAAUAUCGAAACCGAUUUAAAGAGCUAAUUUAGAAAAGAAGAGAGCAGUCUAUUCGAAUAAUGGUCAACUGAGUACAUGGGUUGUAGUCUUGUAGAUACCCUUAUCUAUAUAGAAGGGGGUUUGGCAACAAAAAUAUCUGUUUUAAUAUUACACUAGGUUCGGACCCGCGCUACAGCGCGGGGGAAUGUUUUCGGUUCAUUGUUUAUCAUAUGUGUUAAUAUUUUGUUUAUUUUAGUAUCAACAAUUAUUAUUUCGAAAUAUAUUUGGUUACAAUUAUUUGGGAAAAAUGUGUAUACAGAAAUGAAAUACAAUAUUUAAAUAAAACAUAUAAAAUAACGUAUAUUAAAAAAAUACAAACUCACAAUAUAUAUUGUGACGAACCAACCGGUAAAGAUCCGUGUAUUUAUAAAGAAUCAUGAAAAAUAGAAGUUUAAUUAAAUAAAUAUAAUUGAAUCAUGAUAUAAAAUGAGUAUAAUUGAAAAAUGAGAAUUUUAAAGCCCUAUAAGAUAAAAGUAUAACUAGCUUUUAAAUUUGAAAUAAAAGUUACGUCAUAAAACUCAAAUGUUCGUAUGAUAACAAUCAUAAUUUUGAUUCACUUAACUAACUUUCUAAUAAGAAAAACUUAUGUAGUAUACUCUUAGUAAAUAUAGUGAUUUAGUUAAUAUAAUAUAAGGAAUAUUUUAUGCUUAAUAUUCAGCUAAAUUUUUAUAUUUUAUUUUAUAUUUUCAAAAGUACUUAAAAAUAAGUAUAAUAUUUUUUAAAAAUAAUAAAAUUGAUUAAUUAGUUAUUAUUAUUGCUUCCCAAAUAAUAGUAAUGAUAAUUUGUGUAAUAUUUUUUAUAUUAAAAAAUUAGAUGACAUGAGCUCCCUAAAUUUAGUCUUUCACCCCCCCCCCCUAAAUUAAUAUAAAAAUAUAUGAGCUCCAUAACUAAUUUUGCAUUAAUUAUGCUAAUGUUCAAAUAUUUUUCCAUUUUUUAUAAGUCAUUCAAACUGAUAAAGAUAUGGAAUAAUCUUGGAACUCUUUCAUAUAUUCUUAUUCUGAUUAAAAUCUUUCAUUGUACAUAUUAGGAAAGAUAAAAAAAUAAUAAUAAUAAGGAUCAAAUAUAAUUAUAAACAUCACACCAAUUCUUAUUAUUAAAUUCGUUAUAUAUAUAUAUAUAAUUAAUAAUAAAAUUAAUAUAUAUAUAUAUUAAAUUCGUUUUAUUAAUUUUAUUUUAUGAUUUUAAGAAACAAUUAACUAAACCCAACUGAUUAUCAUUUUAAUACCAUUAUCUAUGUAGUUUUAUGUGCAUUUUUUAUAUUUGUUAUACCAAAUAUUUUUAAAGUAUGUUUUAUAUAUAUGUUUUUUUCCGUAAAAGAGAAGUACAAAUGGGAUAUGGAUCGGGUUAUUUAAAAAAAUUACCCGAAAUUCUGAAUUUGGAUAUUUAAAAAACGGCAAAAAAACGGAUCUGAAUAAUACCGAUUAGUCAUUUAAGUAUGAAUUUGCGAAAACUUCUCAUUUGCGAAAACUUCUCAUUUAAAAACAUGAAGCGGUGGAUUUUGAAUCAACCAGCUGUGUGCAUAUGUACAUUAUUGUGCCUCCUCCAAUGACGGUAAGAAUAGUUUUUUUUUUUUUUUUUGAAAAAGGCUUGCAAUUUAAAUAAUAAUGCCCAAUGGGCUUACAUAUUUCCGGAAUAAGCCCAUACAAUAACCCCAUAGGGCCCAAUCUGACAUCUAACCAAACUAAACCAAACUAAAACAAAACCGAUCCGGUUUCGGAGUACCAAAAUUAACCGGUACCCACAGAAACCCUAAUCUACAACGCAAAACGCGUCGCAGCCGCCAUCCACAACUGCGGAUGCACACCGACCGGACCUCCGGUGUACCUGGACGACGCGGAUCGAACGGAGGAGGUGAUCCAAGAUCCGUUUGCCUCUCCGCCACCGUAGAGAAACUUUGAGGAAGAGGAAGAAACCGAGCUGUUGGUGUCGAGAAAGCUUCAAGCUCCGACGUGAGAUUGAAAGGCGGUAGGGAGUAGAUCUAGGAACCGUCAACAGUGGCUUAGCUCCACCCGACCGGAGUCAACCUCCCCCAUCAAGCGGCGGCCUAAUGAAGCCUCCAGGAUCUCCGGUUCCAGACCUAACCGUCUUCUCUCUCAUGCUUCGCCGUGAAAACUUCCUCUUCCAUUCUGCGGCGCUACACCCCCGGUGGAGUCAUCGACGGUGUCUCGCAGAAGCUAUCCCUCUUCGCUUCUCCCUUGAUUUUGAUUCGUUUGUGAAGCUUAGAAGAUGCAGCAGAUUGCGUAGUUGAAGAACCAUGAGCCAUAGAGUCCUCAUCGUCGCCGGAAUCGACGGAGGACCCAUCGGAAAAGCAAGAAGUUGUGCUCAGAAGAAGAAAGAGAAGGGAGAAAGAAAUCGCCGCGAGUGGAUCUCACGCGCACGAUUUCUUCCUUUUACUGGUUUCGGUAAGAAUAGUUUACACUCCCAUUCUCUGAAAAUAACUUUUUUUGGGGUCUUGGUAUAUCUUCCCAACAAAUGUUUAGUAUUGUUUCAUUAUGAUUUACAUUGCAGGAAAUAAAGACGGGUCAAAAAUUGCAUAAAUAGUAAAACAUUUCUGUGGUGACUCCUCGGUCCUCAGUGUUACAUGUCAUAACUCAUUAGUCAUCCCUAUAUUAGUAAAAAAGAAGUACAAAAAGUGCUUUCGGGUCGGGUCAAUUUCAAAAAAUUACCCAAAAUCUGUAAUUGGAUCUUUUAAAGUUGGAUAGAUUAAUGGGUUUGGAUACAUACACCGGAUACUUUCCAAAUCUAAUUUUAGGAUUAUAUUAUUUCCAUAACUAAUUAUAGGAUUUACUAAUAUUUCUCUAACUAAUUUAAUACAAUCUAUUUAAAAUAUUAUUCUUCUUUCACUUUUAUUUGAUAUUAUUUUUAAUUUAUGAUAUUAUACUAUAUAAGAUAAAUAUUUAAUAAAAGUUUCACUUUUUUUGGAAUAUGUUGCAAUUUGAAUUUUUCAAAACGGACAUAUAAUACUCAACUACACUCGGUUAAAUAUUUUGGACAAUGGUUUAAAAUCAUUAUAAGUAUGACCAAUAUUAAAACAGUGGUUUCAAAAUAUUAUAAAUAAAAGGUUCAAAUAUAUAAAACUUUUAGAGUUUAAAAUAUUGAAAUAUUUUUUUAAAACAUAAAUGUAAUUUUGGAGACAUAAUUUUUAUUGAUAAAAUAUAUUAUAUAUCAAACUACGUAAAUUUUAGAUAAUUCACGGGAAAUUUGUUAAAAUCACAAUUAUAAUGAUAAAGCGAGUUACGAAUAAUUUUUUUCACGAAAUGAAUUCUGUUACGGAUUGGGCUUUCAAAAAAUAUAUUGUAAAUAUGUAAUUUUUACGUAUAUUCCUACUUUUACUACAAAAAUUGUCAAAAUGAAUAAUUUAUCGACAAAUAUUAUUUCGUGCUGUUAAAUUUUCACCGUGUUUUUCAUUGUAUCAAAACUCAGUUUAUGAUUAUUUACUCGCUUUUUCCUUUAUUAUUUUAUUUAAACUUAUUAUACAAAUAUAUGAUUUAUUGUAAUCGAUUGCACUCUAACAAAAUUAAAAUGUAACAUAUUCUAAUCCGUUAAAAAUUAUAUAUAUGUAAUUAUUUCCCCCGCGCUGUAGCGCGGGUCCGAAUCUAGUUAAGCUUUGUAUAAAUGGUUCUAUUUGUUUCUCCUUUUUGUGUAACUCAUAUGCUUUGUAUGGACGAUUAAUUAUUUAAUUUGUAUGUCAAUACGUAUUCCACUUCGAUUUAUUAUAUCUACUACAUAUACAUCAUAUAUAUAAAAUUUAAUUAACCCGGAACUGGAUCUUUAUGAAAUGGUAUGCCCGAUUACAAAUGGAUAUACUCGAUUAUAAUAAAAAUUGUCAAAAAAACACUGACUUAGCUAAUGAAAAAAGGAAACAAGCAAUAACAAGUAUAUGACCAUAAUAAUGUGAAUAUUAUAGUAUCCAUAAUACAUUUGAUUAAUAUGCAAAUAUUCUCUACACACCUUAUUCAAAUAUGUGGGAUACUAUAAAAAUUUUAAUAUAGUAAAACGAUCCUAUAAAAAUUUAAAUAUAGAACAGUUUAAUAUUAUUUACUUCAAAAAACCUUCUAAACACAUAAUUUUAUAACUCCUACAAUAUAGGUUUUUUUAUAAUUCAAUAUUAAUAUAGAAAAUCAAUCCUAUAAAUAUUUAAAUAUAGAACAGCUUAAAAUAGUAUUUACUUGAAAAAAAACUUCCAAACACAUAAUUUCAUAACUUUUACAUAAAUAGUCUUUGUUAUAAUGCAAUAUUAAUUCUAAAUACUAGAAACAAAAAUGUACUCAUUAAUAGACAUAAUUAGCAUUACAAUUAUUCUAAAUUUUUUUGCGAGGUCUCAAUACAUUACAAUUUACCACACAAAAAUAAAAUAUUUUUGAAUCGUACAAAUUUUUCGACAUAUAUAUGAUUCCCCAUUAUCAACUACAUUUAUUUUAAAAAACAAAGACACAAACCAUAUUCGCUACUGUCUUCGGGUACUUUUCAAUACAAUCUUAUUAGAAAAAAUGGUGUUACAAAUAGCAAAAUCAAUAUUUGCCAAAAAAAAAACAUAUUCUUAAAAUGUAUUUGUACUAAUUAGUAAAAUCAAAUCACUUUAAUAAUAUCUGAAAAAUUUUCUCCGCGCUGUAGCGCGCGUCCGACUGUAGAUAUGUUAUUAUUUGUAAAGAUUGAGAGUUUAGUUAAUUAUUUUGAAAAAUCGUUUAAUAUUGUUUUCCGUAAAUAGAUUUGUUAGCAAUAACAAAGUAUCCUAAGUUAGUGGGAUAGUAAAUAUGGCAUCGACGAGGCAAUCUGGAAACUUAUUGAUGGCCAACACUUUUAUGAAAUGUCAAUUUAUUAACGGGUCAUAUCCAUAUCCUAAUUGUGAUUCGUUUUCUAAGUAUCCAUUUAAUCUAAUCGGGUAAUAUUUUUAAAAAUUUCUGAAAUAACACGACCCACGAAAUUUUUGUACUUCUCUUUUACUAAUAUAGGGAUAUUAUAUCAAGUUUAAAAUUAAAAUUUCAAGAUUAAAAUAAAAAUUAUAAUUUGUAUAUCAUUUUUUUGUAAUUGGUAAACUGAAAAUAAAAAUGUGGAGAAGUUAUUAAAAAAAAACCUAAAACUAAGAAUAAAAGAGAAAUAAACUCUACCCUCUACAGCUCUACUAGACCACAGAUACAAUCAUACACUUGUCAUCAUCAACAUUUUUCAUCACAAUGGAUACGAGUCACGACAAAACAUUUGGAUAUAUAUUUUUAUUUUUUUCCUUCUCCGUUUAGAAAAAUCCAGUCCAGAGAAAAAUGUUGUAUUCAUGAUCAUCCAAUCCAACUCACGAAACAAGGAUUGUAGCAAUGGCGUCUCUUUCUCUCACCUCUGCUCAUUUCUCUUCAUCUCGCUCCUCUGUUUCCACUUCAUCGCUUCCUCCUUCGUCUCCUUCCUUCCCUCUCUUACGCUCACCGAUCCGCCGUCGUCACCAUAGCCUCCGCCGUCGUCUCUCCUUCUCCGUCGUUCCUCACCGGACUUCUCACUCCUCCUCCACUUCCAAUUCUCAGGUAUUUCUUCUAAUUACUGAUUCAAUCCAGUUUACUCAAAUGUGUAAUCAUAUAAUUUGGUCAAUUUGGAGAAUUAAUGUGAUUUGGAGUGUAGAUUAGGUGUUCGACAAAUGAGCCAUUGAAGGUGAUGAUUUCGGGAGCACCUGCUUCGGGUAAAGGUACUCAAUGUGAGCUCAUUGUGAACAAGGUAAUCUAUUUCACUUCUCUGUUUCUUGUUUAGUGAUUCUCUGUAUGACAACACAAAUGAUACAUUGCAUUAGUUUGUAUAACCAUGAUAACUAAUAAACACCAAAUCUUAUGGUGUACAUGAAUCUUUUUCGAUAUGUUAACAUGUAUAUAUGUUUUGGAUAUCUUUCAAUGAAACUCUGCUGGAUAGAGAGCUUUUAUUAGUGCAUCUGUGAGUUUAACAUGUGACUACUGUUAUCAGUCCAUCUUGAAUCUUUUGUGAUAACAAUGGUGUAAUUUGGAUGUCAUGAUGCAGUGUAGUUAAUUAGAUGAGUUAACGAGUAGUCAAGAAUGGUGUUCUGACUAAGUAUAGUAUAUACAAAAAGUUGUCUAUUUCCGUGAAUUCUGUGAAACCAAGAAUCCAGAAUAUGCAUUUUAUAGUAACAAAACAAUGUAUAUGAUCUUCUCUCUGUGUUUAAACACGAUGUCGAACUAGAAUCUGUGAAACCGUUAAGUAAUACGAUAUGGAUGUUGUGUCGUAUGAAAAGGAGAACGAGCAGAGCUUGUAAACAACAUAGGAAAUAUCUGCUCUUGUUUUAGUUUUGUAACCCUAUUCUUUUUUCUUUUUUUUACCUUCAGCAUCUUCACUAUGUUUAAGAUUAUGCUGUUGAUGUUUGCAUGUUUAGUUGUAGAUCAUGUCAGGUUUUUCUUUCUUGCCCAUGCAGUUUGGUUUGGUGCACAUAUCAACGGGAGAUCUCUUGAGGGCAGAAGUUUCAGCCGGGACAGAUAUUGGAAAGAGAGCAAAAGAGUUCAUGAAUUCUGGUAGUUUGGUUCCAGAUGAGAUUGUUAUCGCGGUACUGAUUUCACUUACCUUCUUCAUAUAUAUAUUAUUUCUAUCAUUCUUCCUCUGAUAUCUACUACUUUUCUAGAUGGUGGCUGGAAGAUUAUCACGUGAAGAUGCUAAAGAGAAAGGAUGGCUUCUUGAUGGAUUUCCUCGAAGUUUUGCUCAGGCACAAAGUCUGGACAAACUGAACGUCAAACCUGACAUUUUUCUUUUAUUAGAUGUACGUGCAAAUUGCUCUUAUUGCGUAUGGUAUCCAUUUUCUCAAUAGGUGUUAAAGGCAAUAUUAUAUGUGUCUAUGGUUCUUUGCUUAUUUUCCGUUCUUAAUAACAGGUUCCUGAUGAAAUUCUAAUCGACAGAUGUGUUGGUAGGAGGUUGGAUCCAGUGACUGGAAAAAUUUAUCACAUUAAAAAUUACCCUCCAGAAUCAGAUGAAAUUAAAGCAAGACUGGUUACACGCCCUGAUGAUACAGAGGAGAAGGUAAGACUUAGGACUUAUUACUCGCUUCCUCAAUCUUUAACUAUCUUUAACUGUAAUCUCAUUUGUUUAGUUUGGUGAAGGUAAAAGCACGUCUGCAGAUAUACAAACAAAAUUCUGAAGCGAUUAUUUCUGCAUACUCGGAUGUUAUGGUCAAGGUAUUAGGCAAUUUUUUUCCUUUCUUGCUUUAGUUCUUAAAAGUAUUGGGAUACCAUCAUUUAUAACUUUGGUUUGGUACCAUCCCAUUCAAACACAGAUUGAUGCAAACAGGCCAAAAGAAGUGGUUUUCGAGGAGACGCAGACUCUAUUGUCUCAGAUACAGUUAAACAGAAUGAUAAAGACUGGCAAGUAGUCACACAUUUGUAUAUGAUUAUUUUUCGUGGUGCCAUUCUUGAUAGCAGGGUCAGUGUUUUCCAGUUCAAGAUGAGUUUUCCCAAUCUUAACUUUUGUCAAGUCUCUACUUUAGGUUAUUUAGAAAAUGCUUUCUUCAGUAAUCCGUCUCUUUGUGUCCAUUAGAAAAAAAAACCCAUCUUUAUGGUGUUCUUAUAGUUUUGAUACCAUCAUUCUUAACUUCCCUUAGUAUGUUUGAAGAUUUUAUGGUCAAUCAUUCUUUUGUAGGACUAAAUUAUUCCUUUUACUCCUUGUUUAACUUUGAUUUGAUUCCCACUGUAUGCAUGCGACGCUAAUUCUGAAACAGGUCCUUGCAGAUAAAGCAUCUCCUGUUCAGGUUCGUAAAUAAUACUUCUCUUUGAAGCUACCAAGUAGCAAGUAGAAGGAAGUAAAUUUGGAGUUUUUCUUAUCUAUGUCAUGUAACAUUUCUUCCAGGAUAAAUGGAGAGGAAUACCGACGAGACUGAAUAACAUUCCACAUUCGAGGGAUAUCAGGGCUUAUUUUUACGAAGAUGUCCUGCAAGCCACAAUUAGAUCUAUCAAGGACGGGAACUCACGUCUUCGGGUGAGCUGAUCCCCACAAAUCUAUUUGCAGUGUAGCAUGUUAGGUUUGACUUGACUGAUACUGUUACAAAUGAUUAGGUGGACAUAAAUAUCCCAGAGCUAAAUCCGGAAAUGGUCAGUUAUUCAUUUCACUAGUUAUUUUCUAUUAUUUCUAAUGCUUCACAAGUUUUAUCAAAACUCACAAGCUAUUGUGAUAUAUAUAGGAUGUUUACCGGAUAGGAACCUUGAUGGAACUUGUCCGAACUCUAGCGUUAUCAUUUGCUGACGAUGGAAAACGAGUGAAGGUAUACAUUGGUUUGGUAGACUCAGUGAUGUCUCACUUGGAUAUUCUCUUUCAGUCAGCUUCUUUCCCCUUUCCAGGUUUGUGUUCAGGGUUCAAUGGGGGAAGGUGCACUCGCUGGGAUGCCACUGCAGUUGGCAGGCACUAGAAAGAUUUUAGAAUAUAUGGACUGGGGUGAUGAUGAAACUUUGGGAACUUUCGUCAAGCUUGGUGCAAUUGGUAACAUACGAAACUCAGUACUUUACAAAAUAUAUCGGCAAAACACUAAAAAAUACCUCUCGACAUUAUCAUAGUCCAUUUUGUCUGAGUUUAGUAACAAGAGAAUCUUACAAGAACUGCACCAUCUCAGAAUAUUGUUGUGUGUACACAAUCAAACUUGUGAUGCAUAAGAAGUUAGAUAUAUUUGUCUGGAUACAAUUAAAAACACAUUAUCCUGCUCUUUGAUUCUUUUGAGGCAUAUAUGAACAAAGCUGUGUCCGCGAUGACAGGAGGUAAAGAAGUUGAUGAAGACGACGAUAUAUUUAUUUUAGUGGCUCCACAAAAUGCGGUUGGGAACUGUAUUAUAGAUGUAAGGUGCUUUGAAAUGCUAGAAGUAGUCAUUCACUUGAACAGAGUCAUCUCAUCUUAUAAUAAAAUAUACUGAAUUCUUUUGUUAGGAUCUACAAGCGAUGACUACUGCUGCUGGGAAAAGGCCAGUUGUACUUAUUAAUCCUCGCCUCAAGGUACAUUUUUGUGUGUAUUUUCUAUACAAAGAUUAUGUGGUAAAAUUGUUAUCUUUUGUGUGUUACAUGUUUGAUAAAACUUUAUUACAUUCAGGACUUACCCGCUUCAAGUGGAAUAAUGCAAGUAAGCACACACAAUGAUUUCCUAACCAUCUGAUAGAAAGGUUACAUUGCUUAUAAUUUCCUUGGUGUCUCAGACAAUGGGCAGGGAGCAAAGGCUUGAAUAUGCCUUAACGUUUGACAACUGCUAUGUAUUCCGGCUCCUCUAUUAUUUGGGAACACAAUACCCGAUUAUGGGUGCUCUAAGGUACAGUUGUUAGGUUGUGAGGUAUUGUUAUCAAUGUCAAUUCAUUCUGAAUCUUUGACCUGAAUUUGGUCAGGAUGUCUUAUCCUUACCGGUAUGAGCUUUACAAGAGGGUGAACGAGGAAGACGGAAAGGAGAAAUAUGUCUUGCUAGCAACGUUCUCUGAAAGGCCAACCCCUGAGCAAAUCGAUGAUGCCUUCUCUGGAAAAUCGCGGUAAAAUUGUUUCCAAUAGUGCUUCUUAAAACACUGGCUUUAUAAUCAUUUUGAACAAUAACUGAGAAUGUUUUUUCCACAUUCAGGGAUCAAAGCAAGAAGCCGUCAGGAAUCUGGUAAUGAACACGACUUAGUUAUACAAAUGAGGAUGGAUAUGUGCAUGUGUGUAAAGCUAAAUGUUAGGGAUACUUGCAGGGGGUUCUUGAGCAGCGUGUUUUCGUAAAGCAAGGAAGCUAAUGUUGUUGCUCAUCUACGAAACCUAGAGUGAUGCUGCUACUUUUUGUCCAUAGUUUCUCUACUUUGAUUAUGUCUCAAAGUGUUGAUAAUCUGAAUUUGGGGCAAACGAAAUUGUGAUUAUUGUAUUAAAUAGUGACACAUAACCAAAAGAGUAACCUCACUUUGAUACAUAUAUAUGAAAGCCAAAUCACGUACAUCCAAGAACAUUCUCGUCUACUACGACGGCUUUGAUUUCUAGUUGGUCAUCAGUCUCCUAAUGGCAGCUAACUUUGAUUUCUAGUUGGUAAUGCUAUGAGCUUUUCUCUAUUUUGAGCUUAGGAAACUUCUUCUUCUGAUUGGUAGACGAAUGGUCUCUAUCCGUAUUUCCCACAUGCAAGGAAAAUUGGUACCACUUGUGGCGUUGGAUGAUAAAUCUUUAACCAUAUUAUAAAGUAAUUAGAUAUUAUGGCAAAAGCUUGAACUAGUCCUAGCCAUAUUAUAAAGUAACUGGAUAUUAUGGCAAAAUCUUAAACUAGUCCUCGGCAUUUGGAUUUUCGGUUCGAUCUCGGUUCAGUAUUUUUGGUUUUUGGAUCGGAUAUUGAAAUUCAAAUUAUUAUCCAUUUGUUUUUUUAAAAGUUUUUUUGUUUGGUCUCGGUUUGCUUCCUUUCCAUUUUGGUUUGGUUCGGGAAUUUAAAUAAGAAACCGAUCUAACACCAAAAUUAUUUUUGAGUUUUUUUUUUUGUUUUGGUUCUAACCAAAAACUUCCGAUAUUUUGAGUUAAUUCAGGUAUAUUUCGGAUAUUUUUAGUGUUUUCAAAAAAUUUUAAAUACUUUUGGUUUGGUUUUGAUUCAAGUAUUUAGAUAAUUUGGUUUUUUCGUUUGAUUAUUUAGUUAUCUUUAUAUUUUUGGAAACUUUUUAGUUUUUCAGUCUAAAAUAACUAAUACUUUCAGGUAAAGAAUUGUAUUUCAGAUAUUUCAUAUAUCUCUUCGGUUCUCGAUUUGGUUUUGCUUUGGUACGAUUCAGUUUCAGAUACUUUUGGAUCAUAGUUUCAGAGUGUAAAAUCUAUUCGAUUUUUAGUUAAUUUUGGUUACACUAAUUUCGGUUCGGUUUCCAUUCGGCACAUUUGGUUUUGUUUUUUUUUUUCACACAAGAAUGCAAUAUCUGUCAACUAUUUUGUUUUGGGUAAGUUUUUUUCAACCUUAUUAACUGAAAGCGUAAUAAUGAAUUUAACUUUAACUUUAUCCAACAUGUCCACAAUCUCACCUAAUUUUUUGUUUUAAUGCAGCAAAGUAAGAAAAUAGCAAAAACACAAACAUACAUUAGCAUUUACGUGACGUGGAAUGUUUAUAUUGGAUAACAUAAAUUUGUCGUAGAGUAGUAGGCUCAGAAUCAAUGAACCCAAACCCAACCUCCAUAAUUGAAGAGGACGAACAAAAAAAAAAAAAAAGUGGAUUCUAAAAUUGAAAAUUGAAUGAAGCAACGAACGAUUCGAAUCUGUGUGUUUCGCGUUUGAUUGAUCCGGUGGAAGGAGGCGAUGACGUCGCCUGGAUCGAAGAAAGUUGUUACCGGCGAAGGAUCGGAGAAGAAUGUUUCCGGGAACCUCGGAAGAGUUAGUUUCACCGGAGAUGUUAAUGAUAGUGGAAGUAGUAGUCGUAGCAGCGGCGGCGGAGAAGGAGGAGGAGGAACCUUUGAGUGUUUUGGAUGGGUGUAUCAUUUGGGUGUGAAUAAGAUCGGUCAUGAGUACUGUAAUCUCCGUUUCCUUUUCAUUAGAGGCAAAUACGUUGAGAUGUAUAAAAGAGAUCCUCACGAGAACCCUGACAUUGUAAUUCCCUUUCCCUUGAUUUUGGUGUUUUCUGGAUUUUUUUUUUGGGAAUUUUGCUUGAAUCUUUAGUAUAUUUAGUGUUUGAGAAUCUGGGUGUUACAAGAAACAACCGUGGCUGUUGAAAAUUUUGCUUGGUUGCUUGGAAAUUUCAUAGGGAACUGUUUCUUUGCUUAGUUUAUGAAAAUGGUAAGUAUAUGGUAUCUAUCAGUAAGAACUGUGUAGGUGUGUUAUUGGGUCGUGAUCUUUGUUUAUCAAGGUUUUUCAUGGUUUUGAAUCCAUUGUUGCAUUACUGAAGGAUAUAGUGCUGUACUUAGAUGUUGGUUGGUUGUUUUUUUUUGAUGUGUUUUGAAAUUCUAUUAUAUCCGUUUGAUUUUUUUUUUUUGUUUCUAUAGAAACCUAUAAGGCGUGGUGUUAUAGGGCCGACAAUGAUGGUUGAAGAGCUAGGACGUCGAAAAGUUAAUCAGGGGGUAAUUCAUUUCAGUCUCAGCUUCUAUAACUGCAAUCUGCGUAAAUUAUAGAUCUGUUUUUCCCUGUUUUGCAUAUUAGUUGUAUGCUCUUAUAAAUGAGAGUUUGAGUCUAAAUGAAACAAGUACACUUACUAGUUUAUUUCUAUUGUAUUUUGUAGGAUGUGUACGUGAUAAGGUUCUAUAACCGGUUGGACGAGUCUAAAAAAGGAGAAGUAAGUUCAAUUUCCAUCUUUGCAAUAUACUUGUGACAAAUGCUUGUGCCAAAUGCUCACUAUACUUAAAGCUUGCCACUGUGAACAUGAUGAGUUUGCUCUGUGGAAGGCCUACGAUUUGUUUUGUGUAAUUGCACACUUGGAUGAACCAAUUAGUUAACUUUUUGAGCAAAUGCCUUGAAGUUCGUUUGUAAACAGUUUUGUUACCAUGAAAGUACAUAUCAGAAUCUAGAAUUAUAUUGUUUCUAGAUUAACCCAGGUGCAUUAAAUAACUUUUUUUUCUUUCUGGAAACUGUAUUUUAGAUUGCUUGUGCUACUGCUGGAGAAGCCUUGAAAUGGGUGGAGGCUUUUGAGGAAGCAAAACAGCAGGUACUACGGAGACUGUGUCCAAGUUGUAUAGCAUCAUGUAAUGUAUUGAAGUUUUCCUUGCAUAUGAUUGGCUACUUUUACAGUUCAUUUUGCUAUUGUUGGAGCAUUAAUAUAAUGCUUAUUGGGAUGAGGUAUUAGCUAUAACUUUCAAAAUAAAUUCCGAUUACUGCUUUAUCCUGUUUUGGAAGGCGGAAUAUGCACUAUCGAGAGGCGGAAGCACAAGAACGAAGUUAAGCGUGGAGGCCAAGUAUGAUCUAAUUAUCAUAUUAUUAGUGCCUUAGAUGAUAUUUACUAGUAGCUACUUAAUUCCUGUUUUGGGGGACUAACUGUUCAAUUACGGAGAAGAUGAGGCUCUUCCAACAGAAAAUGCAUAACAUUCUGAUGUUAUAGUCUCUGUUCUUAACCAGAUGAGAUUGUCUCCAAUAGUAAAAGUCCACUACGUACUGCUGAAUCACACUCUUGUAUUUUUUGUUUUUUGAAGCAUCGAUCUGGAAGGACAUCGACCUAGAGUAAGGCGUUAUGCUUAUGGGUUAAAAAAGCUUAUCCGAAUUGGGCAAGGUAAUAUGCUUUAUCUCAAGUUUAUGGACUUGUUUAGCUCCAGAAUCUUCCACAAGUAUGCCUAAACGUUCAGACAUGGUUUUUCAAAAGAGGAAGUGAAAAUGCUGUCAUGUUAUUUAGUCAACUUUCUCAUAUAUAUAGUGUAUAAUUUGUGUAGUAGCUUAUAAAGGAAUCGUCAAAUCUUACAUUUUAAAAAAGUUACUCUAGAAUUCUUUGCUAUUUCCUAAUCCCCCCUAUCUUUGUGUUGGGCACAUGCAAAAUGAUAUACUGGGGUAAUGUGUGUGCUAAAGAUUCUGAUUAUUUCUCAUAAAACUAGAUCGAUACCAUAUUCAAAUAUAUAUUAUCCUCAUCUCCUCUAUAUAUUAUUGAAACAAUAGUUAUAAUCCUUCAAUUCUUGAGUUUAUUAUGCAUUGAUAGGUCUGGUUCCUUAGUUAAAUUGAUUUCUUAAUAUCUUUAUCAAGUGGUUAUUCAUGAACAAGACUAGGGUUCACCUGAUAGUUACUUUUCGUCCAAAACAAAGAUGUGUGAUUAUGUUCUUAAACUGACAGGUCCAGAGACUCUUUUGAGGCAAUCCUCUACCUUGGUUAAUGAGGUCAGAGGUGAUGGUUUCUACGAGGGUGGUGACAAUGGAGAUGCAAUCGAGGCACAUAUGUGGAAAUGUGUACGUACAAUCAAUGGUAUGUUUGGCAGUACACAGUCGAGUUUUGAUAUCAGACAACCUACUCAUAACAGUUUUUCAUCUACUGAACCAAUAGUGGGGUCAAUUAGAAUGUCCCAUUUAUUUACGCGAUAACCAUGCUUUAAAAUGCAUUUAAUGUGGUGUCUCCUUUUUAUUAUGUAUACUUCUCUAUCAUUUAUAAUUGUAGUAGACUCAUAAAAACUGAAAGAAUGCAGACAUACUUGUCCAGUUUAUUUAGGUGGCUGUUUUUAAUCACUAAUCUGAAGGUUGUAUGGUAAUAUAGUAGUCCUUAUUGUUCAGAAUUUCGAGACUAUAAUGCCUAAACAUGUUGAUCUUUUUCUUUGCUUGCUCUUUAUACAUAACAUUCAAUUAUAUAUUUUUCUGUAUAUUGUUUGCAGGUGUUAGGAUUUUUGAAGAUGUGGCUAACUUCAAGGUAUAUUUACUUUUAUUCAGAGAAUACAUUUCCAACUAUAGCAGAACUGCUUGGAUUAUAAAUUCGGACCAAUGAGAAGAGAUUGGUCUACGGGUUGAAAAAGCCAUUAGUACAUUGGUGUGGGAGACGAUUGGGUCUUUUGUCCUUCUGAAUUGCGUUAAAUUAUUCCCAGAGGAAUGGAAACUGAACCAUCUUAUUUUAUUCUUCCAUUAUAAUAUUUGCUAUCUUGUGAUUUGCAUCUUACUAAUUCUUAUUGGCAAGGUAACAAUUUUAAAUUAGAUCCUAUAACUAAGUUUUCUCAUCUCCAGAACUUAUGCAUUUAUAAUAAUAGCGAUAAUUUAUGUCAAGCUAAGGUGAAAAUUAAUAUUUGUACUUGGUUGUUUUGCAACUGGUAGUUCACUGGGAAGACCUGUAAUUGGCUGUAUUCAAUUAUUUGUUGAAUGCUUAGAAGGCCCCUCAGGUAGUCAGGUUCUGAUCAAUUCUUCUUUAGGCUGGUCGAGGAGUUCUUGUGAAAGCAGUUGCUGUAGUUGAAGCUAGUGCAGAUUCUGUGUUCGAAGUGCUUUUGAAUAUUGACAAACAACAAAGAUACGAGUAAGCUCAUUUCUUUGAAUAUAUAGAUAGAUGUCUUUUGGUACUUGGACCUUUCUAACUAUCCACACAGGUGGGAUGCAGUAACAGGUGAUUCAGAAAAGAUAGACUCAUACGAGGGCCACUAUGAUGUUAUUUACUGUGUAUACGAUCCUAAAUAUCUUUCACGGUAUGUUGUUUAGGCAUGUUGUAUAUUUUUUUGCAUCUAUCACUUCAUUCAGUGAAUAGCUUUACACUUACAGUUUUUUCAUUAAACUGAUUGGUUAAAUAGUAUCUUCUGCAGAUGGCAAUCGAAGAGAGACUUUAUCUUCUCUAGACAGUGGGUUCGUGGGCAAGACGGAACAUAUAGUAAGUAGAGAACAAUCUAUUCUAGAUAUUUUUUUCUUUACCAAUCUGGUGUCUGGUUUGUCUAUGCAUAAUGGUAGAGAUUAAUAUAAGCCAUGUCACUAGGUGGUUAGUGAAGUGUUUGGGCUGUAGUUGUAUUUAAUUGAAUAUCUCAAGCUAUUCAUUUUCUCAUGCUGUAUUUUUGUAUGCAGCAAUCUUACAAUUUCCAGCAGUACAUAAGAAACGGCCUCCAAAGUCUGGAUAUCGACGAACAGAUAUUACACGUAAGAUAUUUUCUUUUAACCUUUCUUUUCGUAGUGUUUGCCUUUUUCACUAUGCUGCAUGUCUGGUGGCAAUACAGUCUCCUUGUUACUAUGCAAGUGUUUCCAACACUAAUCUGUUCUGAAUUGGUACUUCUAUAGCCAGAGGUUCUGUGUAUACUUAGUUGCUUGUGCUUACUUGCCCAUCUGUCUCUGCAAUUGUGUUGUGUUCUGCAGCUAGCUUACAAAAUCUAGAACUGAAUUUUAGGCUUGGGGAAAUUUUAUUGGCUUGUAAACCAUAUCAUAUGGGAUGCUGGUCUAGUGUUUUAUUCUACUGUCUUUCCAUUUUUACUUACUUUAUUGUAUAUGUUGCCUUUCUUCUUACUCACUGAAUCUGUAGUGCUCUUGCUUACUGUGGACUUACACAAUGCCUAUCAAGGUAUAUACCCCAUUCUUCUAAAACUUCCAUUUCUUUUUUGUUCUUGUUGAUUUUAGCAUCCACUUGGGAAAUCAGAAGCUUAAAAAAGCGCAGCGAUGCAGAGACUGCAAGUUGUCUUGUCACACAUAUGCUAGAAAUCCACUCUAAACGUUGGUGCAAAUGGAAGAGAACUAGCUACUCAAAGUUUGAAAAGACUAUUCCAUAUGCAUUACUUCUCCAAGUAGCAGGUUAGAUGCAUGACUAUCUCCUUCCAGAUCUUAUUUUAGAGUAUGAACACAAAAAAUGAGUAAGAAGUCGAGAUGUUAUCUUUGUGGUAUAUAUAACAUCUAUUGAGAAAUGGAGACUCUUGUGAGCACAUCUGAAGAUUUAUUUGUCUUGUGAUAUAGAUUAGCGUUCACUAUCCACACUUGUUUGGGAUAAGUAUACAUGUAUUAUGCUUCGUGUUUGCAACAAUUGGAAGUUUCUUUUUUGGGCAUAGAAACUAAUAAGCUUUAGCUGGCAUGCUAUUAAAAGUAUAUGCCUGAACUCUGACUACAUUAGAUGUCACAAGUUCCACACGGGUUUUGUUUCAAGUUCUACAUGGUUUUUGUUUCAAGUUCUUGUUAAUGGUAUAUCAGGUCUGAAGGAGUACAUUGGAGCAAACCCAGCCUUCAAGUAUGAAACUUCUGCAACGGUUAUAGAGUCCAAGUUACCAGAUGUCUCCAAUGGUGAAUAUGUAGAUGAGGAAAUGGAGGAGCAGUUUUAUGAUGCCACAGACUCAUCAUCUGAUGAAGAGGAAAGCGAUGAAGAUGAUGACGAGCAGGACAAUAAGGUAACUACUUGGUUUUGAUAUCUUCUUGUCAAUAUAGAAAUUUUUUUCAUAUUUACAAAAUAAAGAAUCAUGGAGAGAAAUAAAACACUCAGAAGAUCUUCUUAAUCUAAUCCUUAACCAGAAGGAUUAAAAUAAAACACCCAAAAACACAGAAAGCGUUUCUCUUGGUAUAAACAGGUAACUCCUUGGGAAAACUGAUAAACCUCCUAAUCACUGCCUAUACUUCAGCCCUAGAUAUACUAAAAUGAAAAGGCAAAAAGCUGUUCUAAGAUGUUCAAAGUUCCUAAGAAAUAUUUGUGCCCAUGAGGUGAGAAAGUUGUAUUGAAAUUAUUAAAAUAAUAUUGAAUUCUGUUGUUUCAAUGUUAAAAACAGGAGAUAAAAGUAAAACUGAAGAAUGUUUCAUGGGCAAUUGCUAGUUUAUCUUUGAAGCGGCCUAAAGGUUUUCUCUUUACUUUUUUUGCUAGUCCAUUAAGUUUUCCAACGACUAAGUAUACCAAUGACUCACAUAGGUAGUAUAAUGGAAUCAAUAUAUGUAUGAUUUAUAUCUAUAAUAAGUAACUUGAGGACCUCUUAUCAGUAUUUGUUCCCAAAGUUAAUCAAAAGUUUCAGAGUGUAUGGCUUGAUAUGUAUAUGCAAGCAUUUUGUUUACAAAGAACUACUUUAUUUAGAUGAGAAUGAAAAAAUCUAUAUAGGUGUUGUAGUUACCAUUUUGUAACUAGUCCAUUCUUGAGUUCUAUGUCAGGAAAAAGGGAACAACUUGUAAAUAUACAAACAUUUAAAACAAAUUAGAAUUAAAAAGCAUUUUUCUAUAUUGUUUUACAAUCUCAGUGUGCAUUAAUAUAGCAGCUCUAUUUUGACAUUAGCUCCAGGCGCAAGUAAUGUAUUAGACGCUAGUGUUGGUCCUGUGACUAUCGACCCAAGUCAGUUCCAAGGAUCCCUGCGCAAAGGAAAUGGUGAUAAGGACUCAAAUUGCUGGAACUCUCCUAGUGGCAUGGGGUUUAUGAUUAGGGGAAAGACCUACCUAAAAGAUAAUGCAAAGGUAACUUUGAAAUUCUUGCACCUACGUUAAUAUUCUAUAGUUGAUUUCAGACAUUGUUUGAAAUGGAAUAGAAAACAAUGAGGGGCAUGUUUUGUAGAAAUAUUCUCCUUGACUUAACGAUAUUACUCAACUUCUUCUGAUAUACUGAUUUCAGUUUCUUUAUAUCUCUCAACUUAGGGUACAACUGUGCGUAUUAGUUUUCCAGAUUGAUUUUCUGAUUCUCGAGUUGGAUUAUCUAACAAAGUCUCUUCAACAAUUGUUUCCUCAUGUUAAACUGUGCAAAUUUAAUCUAUGGUGUAAUUUAAGGUGAUGGGCGGGGAGCCCCUUCUGACACUUGUAUCCGUGGACUGGUUUAAAGUUGAUAAAGCUGUAGACAACAUCGCCCUGCAUCCGAAAUGUCUUGUCCAGGUACUCCCUUGAACCGUCUUUAACUAGCACUUGCGGCCCCCUUUCCUAUUAAAAACCAUUGUUAAGUGCGACUUGUCAUCGGACCUCAAUUUAUCAUCCAGCAUUGUAUGCCAUUUUCGCAUUGUGGCUAAGUCUGGUGAUACUCUUUAAGUUAUCAAUGAGUUGAAGCGUGUAUUAUAUAGUCUCCCCGUGGUUGAAUGUGCCUGAUUUGAAAGUUUUCUCUAUUGUAGUCAGACGCUGGGAAAAAGCUGCCAUUCAUUCUAGUCAUCAAUCUUCAGGUUUGAAUACUAUCUGCAACAUAAACUCUAUAUGUAUAUGUCAGUCUUUUUAUUAAAAGUUUGUUUGAAUAGGGAAGCGCUAAUGUCUAGUUGGAAAAUACCUCAACCUAAAUGAUUAAGCUUUUAAUGAAUAUUGUGUCGCUAAACCAUUCAUUCGUCUUUGAUUAUCUGUAAAAAUGUGUCACACAUAUUUUCUCGUAUUUUGGAAUUGUGAUUGUGAUUGUGAUAGUAAAAUCACAAUUUAUAACCAAUCAUUUUUCCCUACUUAAAGGCUAUCUAACUCUUAUGGGUCAAGUUAGUAUCUGAAAGAAGUCAAAACGUUUUUUUUCCCCCUUUUCAGGUACCAGCAAAGCCUAACUAUUGUCUGGUACUCUACUAUGCUGCGGAUCGACCUGUAAACAAGUCUUCAUCCCUGGGAAAAUUUGUGGACGGGAGUGACAGUUACCGUGACGCAAGAUUUAAGCUAAUUCCAAGUAUUGUUCAGGUAAGUAAACUCUUCUCUUCACGUCCCCUCUGAAAUAUAGUAAUCUUAAUUACAUUGUAACAGCCAUGGUGAAUCACAGGGAUAUUGGAUGGUCAAGCGUGCUGUUGGAACAAAAGCCUGCUUGCUCGGUAAAGCUGUAACCUGCAAGUACCUGAGGCAGGAUAAUUUUUUGGAGGUAUAAUAGUUUCUAGUUUUCUCGUUCUUUCAUUGCAAUAGAUAUGUCCAAAAAAACACAGUACAUGUCCUAUAUAAAGACGCAUGAUCAUGUAGACAAUUAUUACACACAUAGUUGCUGAGUUCUUAUGAAAUCGUGGUGCUGCAGAUUGAUGUAGAUAUUGGAUCAUCGGCUGUCGCGAGGAGCGUUAUUGGUCUGGUCCUUGGUUAUGUCACAAGCCUCAUUGUUGAUCUUGCCAUCUUGAUCGAGGUUCGUUUAGAGUCUCACUGCUGGAGUUAUCAUAUCUUUAUACAGGAGUGCUUAAACUUUUAGUUUGAAUGCAAUCAUCGGUUAGAUAGUUACAUGUUCAACUCCAAAUGCAAAUGCAGGGAAAGGAGGAAACCGAUCUGCCAGAGUAUAUCCUUGGGACAGUUCGACUUAACCGAAUAGAGCUGGACUCAGCCGUAUCAUUGGAGGGUUGAAAUAUGAUCGAGGAAUAAAGAUUUGUUGGAUUGCGACAAUCACAUUGCCUUUCUUAAACUCAUUGAUUCAAUUACUGCAGGUAUGAGAACAGACAAUGCCAACUAAAAACAUAUGUCUUGUCAUGGAUUGCGACUUGUUUAAAUCGAGACAAAAAGAGAUCAAUAAUGAAAGAUUGAACUUCAAAAAAGUUCUUCUUUUCUUUCAGAGAUGUUCUUUACAUAUAAGUUAUAAUUUAAAGCAUUAACAAAGGAUAUGUGCUUUUGUUGCCACAAAACAUUUAAAGAAGCAUAUGCAUAUGUAAACAACGAGAAAUGAGAAUUAUAGAGUUUUUUAUUCAUAGAACAUUGAAUUUAUGUGUUUAUAUGAUGUUUGCAUAAUCAUCCUUCAGCAAUAAGAAACAUGACCCAAAACUCUUAUGGUAUCAAUCUAAAUAGCAUGUGAAUGUGAUACAUAAAGUAAUACCUUCGUUAUGGCUAAACAAUUUUUCAGUAAACUUGUUCUUUAUGUUCUUAAAACAAGUUAAGUCAAUAUACAUGAAACAGAAUAAUAUGAAAACAUCUUAAGCCUAUUGAAAGUUGCUAGAGAAUCUAAUAAUUAUUCAUACAUCCCACACAUCACUAUUUUCCAACAAAAAACAACUUAGCACGUCCUCUAGAUGUAUUUCAAAGUGCCAUACACGAACCCAAGUUGGGAAGAUACUAUAAUAUUUACCCACACAUAAGAAAAAGACUAUAUAAAGGACUUUCAUUUCCAAGUAAAUCAUAACCAAAACAAAGAAACCAAAAGAGUAGGGAUGAGUAUUAUGAUCUCCUCAAGAAUGGUGGGACGAGUGCAUUGCAUGGUUUAUGUCGUGGUCUUGAGUGCCAUCGCGGCUACAGUGACAGCAUAUCCUUACUCCUCCCCUCAAACACCCCAAUACAGUUCUCCGGUUUACAAACACGAAUCACCUUAUUCAUCACCUAAAAAGUAUUCUCCAUACUAUUCGGCAUCACCUCCAACUCCACUACAAUAUAGAAGACAAGGUCCUAAGCACACCCCACAUUCGAAACCAUAUGUUUACACAUCUCCACCACCACCGACUUACUACUCCCCUUCUCCUAAAGUAGACUACAAGUCGCCACCUCCACCAUACGUCUACAGCUCCCCACCACCACCUUAUUACUCUCCUUCCCCAAAGGUUGAUUACAAGUCUCCACCUCCCCCAUACGUCUACAGCUCCCCACCACCACCUUAUUACUCUCCAUCCCCAAAGGUCGACUACAAGUCUCCACCUCCACCAUACGUCUACAGCUCUCCUCCACCACCUUAUUACUCUCCUUCCCCAAAGGUUGAUUACAAGUCUCCACCUCCACCAUAUGUCUACAGUUCCCCACCGCCACCAUAUUACUCUCCAUCUCCAAAGGUCAACUACAAGUCUCCACCUCCACCAUACGUGUACAGCUCCCCACCACCACCUUAUUACUCUCCAUCCCCAAAGGUCGACUACAAGUCCCCACCUCCACCAUACGUCUAUAGCUCCCCACCACCACCUUAUUACUCUCCUUCUCCUAAGGUCAACUACAAGUCUCUACCUCCCCCAUACGUCUACAGCUCCCCACCACCACCUUAUUACUCUCCUUCUCCUAAGGUCGACUACAAGUCUCCAUCUCCACCAUAUGUCCCAAAGACACCUUACUAUUGAAUUGGUUUAUAACCUUGCAUGGUUGCAAUAAUUAUUUUCUUAUUGAUUUUGUCCCUUGUUACACCCUUUUUCUUAUAUUGUUAUUUGAGUCUUCUGAAUUUAUUUUUUUGUUACACUAUCUCUUGAAGAUUUUAUGUAACCUAUAAAUUUUUAUUUGGCUAUUUUUUAAAAAUACAUUUGUUAUUUAAUAUUUGUGCGAAUUAGCUAGAACUUUGCAAUAUAAAACCUAUGUAUCGUACUUGGUAUUUUACUAUACACUACAAUAUAUAGCUUGUGCCUGGUAUUUGGAGCUGAAUGUAUGUGCAAUUUAUAUGAAUCUUAAAAUCUUUGAAGAAACAUGCUUAAUCACAUGAUAGGGAAACAAAAUUAUUCCUUACACUUAAAAGUAUGCAGUAUUCUGAAUUUUAACUAGCUUUAUCCCUUGAGUUGCUUGUUACAAGUGUCUAGCUUUAUAUCAUAAUAUAUAUUGAUGAUAUUAUCAUUGUCUUACCAAUAGUAUUUCUUGGUCAAGGAUAAAUAGUGAGCUUAGCUAUUCUCUUGGUGUUGAAGCAUAACGUCCUAAUGCUAUUCUCUUACUAACAUAUCAAUGGCAUAAUAACAUCAUGGUGCACACCAAAAUGAUUGUAUCAAAGCCAUCCUCAUACCAUGACUAUUUUUCUUUUUAAUGAGAUUAAAUGAACACCAGAUGGUUGUUGGGAAUCCAGAUUCGAGACAGGUCAGUCGCCUUUGCUAUGAACAAACUCUCUUAGUUCAUGCCUUUUCCUACGUCGCUAUCUUGUUCACGGUUGUUUAAUUAUUGUAAUAAUGUUGGUGUCUAAUAUUAAUGAUCUUAUGUUCUGACCACAAGUCAUAUGAAGAGAGAUUGAUCGUACCAUUUAUCACUUCCUUUGAUUUGUCUAAGUGCAUUGAAUUGACAUCGAAUAUUUGGCUAAUCAAUACACUACUCUGAACACUAAUUACAACAAAAUAGAUUAAGUGGAAUCAAAUGACUAAUGAGAGGAAGACGGAGAAAAACGAAAUAGUAGAUAAUCGAAGCCGUUAGAACUUGCCGAAGACGAUAUAUGGAGACCAUUAAGGUGAGAUCGAUGAUGAUAGAGACGUAGAUCGAUGAUGACAAAGACAUAAAUCUAUGAGAAAGAUAUUACAGAAUUAUCCCGCAAAAUUAUCCCGCAUAAGCAAGGGUUUUAAAAAAGAUUUACAAGUGUUUUAAAGGCAUUUAAAAGGGUUUAAAAGGGGUUUUAAAGGAUUUACACGAGUUUUAAAGCAUUAUAGAUGUUUUCAAAAAUUUUUAUUAAAGGAUUUACAUCGAUUUCUAAUGGGUUUUAGAAGUUUAUAUGAUUUUUAAAGGGUUUAAAGGAGGUUUAAAGGAUUUUUAAGGGUUUUUAAAGAUUUACAAGGUGUUUGGGUUUACAAGGAUUUUCAAAAGGAUGUACAAGGUCUUAUAAAGUUUUAAAUGGUUAUAAAAGGAUUUUCAACGCUUUUUUACAAGGGUUUUAAAAAGUUUACUAGAGUUUUAAAAGGUUUCGAAUGAUUUUUAAAGGAUUUAACACGUAUUUUAAAAGAUUUUUAAGGGUUUUAAAAAUAUUUACAAGGUGUUAUGAAAGAUUUUUUAAAGAAUAGCAGAAAAAUUAUGACAGAAAACUUUUGGUGGAUAUUUGUUUUAGCCAGAAAAUUUUGUUUUGGGAAUUUUUGGCGGGAACAAAAUUUUUCGCGGAAAGAAUUUGUCCAAAAAGUUUUUGACGGAAAAAAUUUGGAAGAAAUAUUUCUAUUUUUGGAAGAAAUAUUAUUUUCUUCAUCAUGAAUUCCACUAAAUGAAGAUAAUUUAGUCAUUUUGUACUUAGCAAGGAGUAUUUUUGAAAAUGAACAACAAGACAUAUAUUUUUGCAAAAGGAUAUGGUAAAAAGGUUGUAUUUGCAAAUCCCCUCAAAUUGAAACAAAACUAUAUGAGAUGUUUAUAGGGGGUAGAGCCGAUUGUUAAGAAGAAAGUGAGGAAAUAGGAUUGUUGGAAUCCUGGAGACAAAUGAACACGUCAUGCUCGAAAUCCACGGAGAGUCUUUUUCGAUAUUUUUCAAUCGAAAUGUUUUUUUUAUCUUCUACAUCUACUAUUUUUUCUUAUUCUAGUGCGUGGUAACCGCGUUAAACUAUAUAAACGAGUGAACUUAUAAGUUUGAAAAUUCAGAUUUUUGUCCUCAACUUAUAAACAAUAUAGCAUGUUACGUGAACAUCACCUUCAUCUCUGAAGCUUGCUGGAAAAUCACGUUAUAACGGUUCUAACACGGAGGGCUCUAAUUUUCUUUAGAACUACCGUGGGAUUGAUUUUUUUUGUUAAACCAAAGUGAACCUUUAUGUUUGCAAAUUUCAGAAUUUCAUUUUUUCAAUUUAUAAACAAUAAAAAAAUAUUAAUGGUAUGAAUUUUUGUUUCCAAAAAAAUAAAUUGGCAGCCUAAUUUUUUACAAGUUGUUUUGUUUUACGCAAUCACUUAUUAGAAUAAUGAAUAGUUUUUUUGUGUUUUUAUUUUUGCAAAAAAUGUUGGAAAUAUAACAUUUAUAAAAUAUGGAACUAUUGAAAGGAGAAUCUAAGCGAAUUUAAAGUACUAGUGACCUAUCUUGCUUUCAAUUGUCUCUCAUCAGUGUAACACCGGAGUUCAGAAAUGGGUGGUUUCGAUUGACACCAACAAAUUUUGGUUUGAUCAGUUUUUUCAAAAUCGCAAAAUUGAUUUGAGAGGAUUGGUUUAACCCUAGGGCUCGACUUUUAAAAGAAGAAGAAGUUGACUUUGGAGUGUUUAGCCGCUUUUGUCUUCUUCCUUUAAGAGAAUAGUUUCUAAACAUUCCUAGUAAAAAUUUUGUGAUUUCAUGAGAGAUUUAGGGCUUUUCUUGAGAGUUUUGGUUAAAGGGAAGGGAUAUAUUGUGGGCCCCAUGUUCACCACCAGUCCAUGGGCCCACCUCUCUUAAUGGGCAUCAUGUCCUUUCACUAGGCCCAUAAGCCCAUUAAUAUCCGACGGUCGGUUUGCUACGUCCGAGAGGCUUAAAUACUUGUUUACCGACCUUACAAAUCACCACAUGAUAUUUCCCUCUGUUUUGGCCUCACUCACACAGUUCCGACAACCACUUCCUAGAAUGUCACCCAUCCUAUGACUACUCCUGCAUAAGCACGCUUAACUGUGGAAUUCUCUCAGGACCCUUGACCAAAAAGAUAAGUGCACUUUAGUGACAUAGGUAGCCAAAUCAAUUCAUUUAAACCUCCCCGCAACCGGGGUCUCACAAUUCUCCACCAUUAACUGACUGCAACGUCCUCGUUGCACACAACGAUUGUCACCCCCUGACAGUGUGAGCCCACCACCCACACUUGUCUGGCUUCGGCUCUGAUACCACUUGUAACGCCCCGACCGCCACCUCUCUAGUGAACCCCACGUUCACCACCAGUUCAUGGGUCCACCUCUCUUAAUAGACCUCACGUCCUCUCACUAGGCCCAUGAGCACAUCAAUAUCCGACGGUCAGUUUGAUAUGGCCGGGAGGCUUAAAUACUUGUUUACCAAUCCUAGAAUUCACCACAUGAUUUUCCCUGUGAUUUGGCCUCACUCACAAAGUUCCGAUAACCAGUUCCCAGAAGGUCACUCAUCCUUUGACUAGUCCAGCAUAAAAAUGCUUAAUUGUGGAGUUCUCUCAGGACCCUUGACCGAAAAGAUAAGUGCACUUUGGUGACAUAGGUGGCCAAAUCAAUUCAUUUAAACCUCUCCACAAUCGGGGUCUCAUAAUUCUCUCCCUUUAACAGAUCGCAACGUCCUCGUUGCGCACAACGAUCGUCACCCCCUGAUAGUGUGAGCCCACCACUCCACGCUUGUCUGGCUUCGGCUCUGAUACCACUUGUAAUGCCUCGACCGCCAUCUUUCUAGUGGGCCCUACGUUCACCACCAUCCCAUGGGCCCACCUCUCUUAAUGGACCUCACGUCCUCUCACUAGGCUUGUGAUCUGAUUAAUAACUGACGGUCGGUUUGCUACGUCUGGGAGGCUUAAAUACUUGUUUACCAAUCCUACAAAUCACCACAUGAUCUUUCCCUGUGUUUUGGCCUCACUCACACAGUUCCGACAACCACUUCUUGGAAGGUCACCCAUCCUUAGACUACUCCAGAAUAAGCGCGCUUAACUGUAGAGUUCUCUCAGGACCCUUGACCGAAAAGAAAAAUUCACUUUGGUGACAUAGGUGGCCAAAUCAAUUCAUUUAAACCUCUCCGCAAACUGGGGUCUCACACAUACCGACGCGUAGCGCGGGUUUAUAGCCUAGUAUUAUUUAAAAGUUGAAUCUAUAAACUAAAUCUGUCCACAUGAGAUUUUAAACGACCAAUCACGGUUAACCAUUUAAUUGAUUAACAUUUUUUGAAAUUAUAAAAUAUAUAAACUAUGAGAAAAUAUAGAUAAUGUAUAUAUUCAAUUUUUAACACCCUUAUCUAAUUUAAUCAAUUACGGUUAAUCAGAUUUUAAAAUAAAAGGAAUAAUUCUAAAAAAUAAGAAUUUUUGUUUUAUUUGAUGUAUUGUAUUGGAUAUAAAUGUUGAUUAUCGAUUAGUAAUAUUUUUUACAUAUUUGUUCACGCAAAAUAAAGAUAUUUUUCAGAUAUUAGUUGUGAAAAUGGCGAGUCGAUUUAAAAAACUAAUAUCAACCUUCUUCUUCUAUGUGUUUCUAGUACGAGGUGGUGCAAGUGGAGGAGAUGGUGGUCGUGGUAGCGUAGGAACCGACGACACUAAAUCGGAAACUACAGUGACCGUUGAAAAUAUAGCAAGCGAAAAAGAAAAACAUAAUAUAUAUAUAUAUAUAUAGCAAGCAGUCACGUGUUGCCUGCAUGCAUGGUUUGUUCACUGCAUGGUUUGUUCACUAGUAUAAAUGGGUUCAAUUGGUAACAUAGUCAAAACUAUAAAAAGAAAGCUGUAAGCUAAAGCGGUAAAUUUUUUUUGAAAAACAGUGUGAAGUUGUAAAGAAGAGUGGUACAUCACAACUGUACAAAAAAAACAGAGAGUCAAAAUUUAAUAAAAUUUUGGGUGAAUUAGGUGAAUAUUCAUUUUGGAUUUCAAAAUAAAUAAUAUAGCACAUUGUUUGAAAAAAAAUAGAAAACUAGGAUUAGGCGUUGAUAAAAUUACUCUUUUGGUGUUGUGAGGGUGAUAAAGAUGGGUAGUGGUCGGAGGCGGGUAGCGGUGGCCAACGGCCGGAGGUGGCGGUGGUUGAUGGCCGGCGGCCGGAGAUAGUGGUGGCCGGCGGCUAGAGGUGGCGGUGGGCGACGGCCAAAGGUGGUGGUAUUCGGUGGCUAGCGGUGGCCGCGACUGGAGGUGGUCGUGGCCGGAGGUGGCGGUGGCCAGCGGCUGGAGGUGGUGGUUGCCGGCGGCCGGAGGUGGUGGUGGCUGUAGAUUAUGACGGUUGCUGGAGGAGGUGGUGGUGGUGGUAAGGAGGUGGGGAGUGGUGGUAAGGAGGUGGGGAGUGGUGGUUGUAGGAGGUGGUGGUGUAAAUGUUUAAGAAAUAUGGAAUGGUGAUGAUAAGGUUAAAAUAGUAUAUAUUAUAGAUUAUACAUAGUAUAUCAUCUUUUAGUGGUUAGAGUAGUUAGUUAGUGAAAUAUAGUUUUUUGUAGGUUAGUUUUGCUAAAAUCUCUAAAAAUUUUGUUUAAUGCUUUUGUGAUUGGUAAAAAUUAGUAGGUACAACUAUGUACGGCUUUCUUUACUCCACCAAUCAAACUCAAUAUGAAGACAAAGUUUAUGUCGUAUAUAUUUCUUAUAUAAAAUUUAGUUUCUUGUAUAUUAUAUACUAGGGUAAUAAUCUGCGUUUCGCCACGGUUCACGGGAACCGUAAAUACUGUUUGUGUUACUACUAAUAAUUAAUCCUAAGUAUAAAUACCAAAAUUUUAAUCUUACAAUUACAUGAAUAUUUAGGUUAGGUGUUUAAGUUUGUAUUUUGAAGAUGAAUCGAUUUUGAGCAUUGAUAUUUAUUAAAUUUUCAGUUUUAUUUUUUGUGUUUUGAAAACCGAUUAGAUUACGAAUAUUCAAUACAGAUUAUAAUUUUCUCUAGAUUGCUUUUAUUUCAUUUUCUGUUUUGGUAAUAAGUAAAUUUGCAGUUUACCUAUCUAAUUAAGGUUACCCGUAUACACAAAAUUGUAUAAUUUACAUAUCUUCCAUAAUCAACCUUUGCUAUUUAGACUUGCACUUAAGAUAUUUUUUAUUUUGUUCAGAGUAAUUGUAGUAACUAUUAAUUAAUUUCAAGAAUGAUAUUUUCAACCAUGUUGUUUUAAAGCCAUGCGACGAUAAAAUCGUAUUUGUUUAAGUGAUCAGAAGAUAAGUAUUCGCAAAUGCGCAGGUCAAAUCUUAUAUUAAAAGAAAUAUAUUCUUUAAACAUUGAAAUAUUUUACUUUUGUUACUAAAAGGAUUGUUCAUAUGACAUACCAAAAGUAUUGUUAAUAUAAUAAAUAAAAAAAUUUCUUUUAUAUUUAGAUGGAUAUCUAUGUAGAAUAUAUAUUAACCUUAAUUAAACAUUUUUUAUACAAAUAUAUAUAUAUAUAUAUAUAUAUCUUAUAUAAUAAAGCACAGUUCCUCCAAACUCAUGCUCUAAAGAGCUGACACGUGUCGUCUCUACUUGUUACAUUCAUAAUAUGUCCAUUCAAUUUGUAUAUAUAUAUAUAUAUAUUUAUACAUAAUUUAGUUGUCUUAUUUUCUAUUAUUUUAGUUUUUAUAGGAUUAUUACAUUAUUAGAAAUGAUUAUAUACUAUUUUGAUUUCACAAUUUCAGUAUGUGAAGAGUUUUAUAAAAACAAUUAUAUAAUUGAAUGGAGUUUGUUAUAUGGUUUCAAUAUAAAAAUUUAUAACAUUCAAUACUAAGGUUUUUUAGUUUAGAAAUGAGUUAACUAAAUUUCAGUACAAUAUAUAUUAUUAUGUCAAAUUUGAAUUUCAUUUUUUAUGUUUUCUAGGCCACUACACAUCUUCCUAAUUAAAAUCUUAAUCUUAUUUACAUAUUUAUUUAAUGCAAGAAUUCUAUAGUGGAAAUAGUGAAGCAUUUCAAAUUAUCAACACUUAUAAUCAGCUAAAUUAAAUGAUUUAAUUAUAUGUAUGUUUUUUUAGUGAAUUUAGCUAUGUUAGAGCAUUUUAAUAAAUGUGAGUGGUCGAGCAUAUCAAAGUAUUAUUAUGGUUAUGAAAUGAUAUUAACCUAGGUUAGUAAGAUAUUUUUAUAUAAUUAUUUUCGUGAUGGAGAAUUAAGAUAUUAUAAUAUUUGUGUGGUGGAGAGCAUCAACUAUAUAGUGUUAUUUGAAAAUUUAUUUGUAAGUGUCUUCCUUCCUAUUUGUUUUUUUUUACAAAGGAUAUUUCAUUCAUUUGUUUUAUAUAAAAGUAAAUUUAUUCAACAACCCAUUUGCAUAAUAUAUAUAGGAAUUUAACUCUCCUUUGAUUGGUCCAAUUGGCAUCUUUUCUUUUAACAAAAUUUAAAUUGUAUUAAAGGAUAACAAUAAAAAUUCACAACUUGUGUGUCAUGAAUUUAACAUUUAGACUUUAUAUUCCUUACUAUUCAGUUUUGGUUUAUAAUAUGUCAAACAUUUCCAAUUUAAAUUUAUCUUCAAUAUAAAUGACUUUCUACUUCUUCCAUUCAACUUUGUUUUGUAACAUUUCUUCCAACUUAUACAAUAUUAAUUGUCUUAGAAUUAAGAAAAAGUAAGAAAGUUGUCUUAUAUUGUCUUAGAAUUAGCCACUAUGCUUAUAACACAAAAGAAAAUGACAUAGUUAUAAGGAAUUUCAAAAAUGCCCCAAUGCAAGUACCACUUUUCAAAAAUACUCCUUCUUUCAAACUUUAUCAAAAAGCCACCAAAAUAUUCAAAUAUAUCCAAAUAUGUGUAUAAUCUUAUAAAUAUAUACACGAAUAACCUUUAUAUGAGUGUAAUAUUUUUGUAUAUUUCAUAAAUACCUUAUAAAAACAUUUUAAUAUCCUUAUAAAACCUUUUAAAAACCCUGCAAACCCUUAAAAAAUUUUGUAAAAACGAUUUAAAACCUUAUAAAUUAUUUGGAUAGAAUCUCUCAAUAGUAGUUAUUAUCUAAAAGUACCUUAUAAACCAUAUAACUCUUCAUAAUUUUCAUAUUUAAAAAUGGUAUUUUUGAAAAUGUAUAGACAAAUAAUAUUUUCGAAAAGGAGUAUACCAAAAAGGGUAUUUAUCAAAAAAUUUCUAAUUAUAAAUACAUAUCACUAAAAAGAAAAAACAAAAACAAAAAAAAAAGCUCUCUCUCUUCUCUCUCCCUUCUCUCUAGAAAACCCUAAUUUGUGGCUGCCGUUUGCCUCUCCGGCUUGCCCUUCCGGCGCCGGGGAGGGUUUCUCGUUUCCCUUUAGUUGCUGAGCAGCCUCUCUUCGGCGUUUCUCUUCCCAGCUGUUGCAGCAGUCCUCCUUCCGUUUCUGGGACUAGGUAGGUGGUUUCGGAGUAGAUCUGGCGCGUGGAGAAAGCGAGAUGUUUGUGGUGGUCGUUGGAGUCUCCCAUGGUUUGCGAGAUUGGGGAUAUCUCCGUUCUGUGUUCUCUCUCCGGCGGAUCUGGGUUGAAUGUCUUGUUUUGCGUCGUUUCUCUCCGAGGGUUGUUGGGUUUGCAGAGUGUCGGGGAUCUAAGCUCUCGUCCUUAGGAUGAGUCUUAGGGAUCGGUUUCUGGUGUUUCUUCUGCUGGAUUCGCGGAUCUCCCUUUCUCCAGUCGGUAAGCUUGCUUGCUUCAAUGGGGUGUGGUUUCGUCAGGUGAGUUGGUUAUGGGAUGUGCUUAAUUGUGGGUCUUGGUGCAAUUGGAGGGUUGAGCUGAGUAAGGACUCUCUCUCCAGCAGCGGUGGUGUGGAUUUUCCUUCAUGUGAUGCUUGGCGGUGUGGGUUCAUUUGGAUGGUUGAGGAGACCUUGUGCUAAGCGAUCUCUGUUUUGAAGACGGCAGAUGAUUCCCUGUGGUGUCCCUUCGCUGCUCAUGCAUCCAAAUGGCCGCUAUGGUUUGCAGCGAAAGUCGGUGGAGGGAAUGGAGAGUUCGCUGUCGUCCAGGAGGUUAACUGUAGAUCCCUCGGGAUCUUAGAAGGCGGAUCCGGGUCACGGUUUCAUGAAUGUGGCUUGAGCAAUUACAAUCAAUGAGACCGCCGUGUAUUCUGUUUCCUCCGGACCGGAUGGAUUGAUUCCUUACUUGGAGUUAACGAAGUUCACCGGAUCUAGAAGUGGGGGUUAGCUCUGAGUGUGUUUUUGGUUGCUAGGCACGGGACCAGCACCGUAGAGCCUGCUGUCGGCGGUUAGAACAGACCGGGAGAUUUGUUCCGGGCCAGGUGAGUCGAUGUUUUGGAACCAGAGUCGGAGUCCGGUUGCUUCUGGUAACAGUUCCACUUCAAAGUCUCUGCCGCAAAGGAAUGAGUCUCGCAUCCGCCGGAAUUACUGUUCCGACCGCUGCUUCAGGUCUUUCAGCAGGAGAAGAUCUCAUUUUGGGAUUUGGGCUGUAAUUUUGUUUUCUCCCCUUUAGCCCAAUAAUUGUAUGUUCAAGGCCUUGCCCAUUUAAAAAAAAAAAAUAUACAUAUCACUAUUCAAAUAUCUUUUGUCUAUCUCUUAUAAUCAUCAUUUUUUACAAAAACUU